UAUUUUUUUGUAUAUGUAGUCUCUUAGGUUACUUUGUCAUAUGGUUUUGUGAUACUUCAAUAUAAAUGGUUUUGUGCACUCAUAGAUACAGAGGUCGGGUGUUGAACCCCAUUUCAAAAAAGGUGUCAUCCUAAUUUCAAAUGUGUAACAGGUAGAUUGACUGGUCUAUCUACCAUCCAAAAAGUAGCUUGCACUUUGCAGGAUGCACUACUUUUACACAGAUGUUUCUAGAGAUGUUACCAUGGUGGUGAGAAAUGUCAUCGUGUUGGAGAGAAAACUUGGAUGAACUCGACACUAAUUAGCGGGGACGGAUGGCUGCAUGCAUCCAGCGAUGUAGACUUGCAAGAUAUGCAAUUGCAUCUCUUAAUUCAUGGAGCAACCUGACAGAGUAAUGGUAGAUGCAGAACUUCAACAUUGGGUCUUUGGCUAAAUCUCAAUGAUAGCCCCGACAAAGUUAAGUUUAUGAUUGGCACCAAGUUUUUUGGGGACCUUUAUUUGCAGUUGAAAGCUACUAACCUUGUUGUAUACAGAGGGAUUUCAAAAGCUAUAAUGCCUUUGAAGAUUAAAAUCUUUUUAUGGAUGCUGAUUAGGAAUAGUGUCUUGACCAAAGAGAAUAUCCUCCAAAAAGGUUCUACUAGGAAUAGCCCGUGAUAUUUCUAUGGCCUUGCUGAGAUUGUCAAAUAUUUGUUUUUUUAGUGUAGCCUGAUGGCAGUUGGAACUACAUUGGUAUUUCCCCAAAGAGGGAGGGAUGAUGUAGCACAACGACGAUAGGUAUUUCUCUCAGUUAUGAAACCAAGGUAUCGAACCAGUAGGAGAACCAAGCAACACAACAUAAACAACACCUGCACGUAAAUAACAACACCUCGCAACCCGACGAGUUAAAGGGGUUGUCAAUCCCUUUCGGGGUACGGCUCCUCAAGAUAGGCAAGCGGACGUGAGGUAAAUUAUAGUAGAUUGAUAGAUCAAACGCAAAAUAAAAUAAAUAAAGAUAAAACGCAGCAAGGUAUUUUUCUAUUUUUGGGUUUAAUAGAUCUGAAUAAAAAGGCAAAGGAAAAGUAGAUCGCAAGGCAAAUAUAUAAGAAAUAAAACCCGGGGGCCGUAGGUUUCACUAGUGGUUUCUUGAUACGUCCAUUUUGCAUCAUGCUUUUAUAUCGAUAUUCAUUGCAUUAUGGGCUGUUAUUACACAUUAUGUCACAAUACUUAUGCCUAUUCUCUCUUAUUUUAUAAGGUUUACAUAAAGGGGGAGAAUGCCGGCAACUGGGAUUCCAGGCUGGAAAAGGAGCAAAUAUUAGAGACCUAUUCUGCACAGCUCCAAAAGUCCUAAAACUUCACGAAAGAUGUUUUCAGAAUAUAUAAAAAAUACUGAGCGCAAGAAGUUCACCAGGGGGCCACACCCUGCCCAUGAGGGUGGGGGCGCGCCCUACCCCCUAGGUGCGCCCCCUACCUCAUGGGCCCCCUGGUGGCCCUCCGAUGGCCAUCUUCUGCUAUAUGGAGUCUUUCGAUGAGAAAAAAAUCAUAAGCCAUCUUUCCGGACGAGACUCCGCCGCCACGAGGCGGAACCUUGGCGGAACCAAUUUAGGGCUCUGGCGGAGCUGUUCUGCCGGGGAAACUUCCCUUCGGGAGGGGAAAAUCAUCGCCAUCGACAUCACCAACACUCCUCUCAUCGGGAGAGGGCAAUCUCCAUCAACAUCUUCACUAGCACCAUCUCCUCUCAAAACCCUAGUUCAUCUCUUGUAUCCAAUUCUUGUCUCCAAGUCCAGGAUUGGUACCCGUGGGUUGCUAGUAGUGUUAAUUACUCCUUGUAGUUGAUGCUAGUUGGUUUAUUUGGUGGAAGAUCAUAUGUUCAGAUCCUAUAUACAUAUUAAUACCCCUCUGAUUAUGAACAUGAAUAUGCUUUGUGAGUAGUUACGUUUGUUCCUGAGGACAUGGGAGAAGUCUUGCUAUUAGUAGUCAUGUGAAUUUGGUAUUCGUUCGAUAUUUUGAUGAGAUGUAUGUUGUCUCUCCUCUAGUGGUGUUAUGUGAACGUCGACUACAUGACACUUCACCAUUAUUUGGGCCUAGAGGAAGGCAUUGGGAAGUAAUAAGUAGAUGAUGGGUUGCUAGAGUGACAGAAGCUUAAACCCUAGUUUAUGCGUUGCUUCGUAAGGGGUUGAUUUGGAUCCAUAUGUUUCAUGCUAUGGUUAGGUUUACCUUAAUACUUUUGUUGUAGUUGCGGAUGCUUGCAAUAGAGGUUAAUCAUAAGUGGGAUGCUUGUCCAAGUAAGGGCAGCACCCAAGCACCGGUCCACCCACAUACCAAAUUAUCAAAGUACCGAACGCGAAUCAUAUGAACGUGAUGAAAACUAGCUUGACGAUAAUACCCAUGUGUCCUCGGGAGCGCUUUACAUCAUAUAAGAGUUUGUCCAGGAUUGUCCUUUGCUACAAAAGGGAUUGGGCCACCUUGCUGAACUUUAUUUACUUUUGUUGCUUGUUACUCGUUACAAAUUGUCCUAUCACAAAACUAUCUAUUACCUAUUAUUUCAGUGCUUGCAGAGAAUACCUUGCUGAAAACCGCUUAUCAUUUCCUUCUGCUCCUUGUUGGGUUCUACACUCUUACUUAUCGAAAGGACUACGAUAGAUCCCCUACACUUGUGGGUCAUCAAGACUCUUUUCUGGCGCCAUUGCCGGGGAGUGAAGCGCCUUUGGUAAGGAAAAAUUUAUAUAGUGUGCUGAAAUUUACUAUCACUUGUUACUAUGGAAAGUAAUCCUUUGAGGGGCUUGUUCGGGGUAUCUUCACCCCGACCAGUAGAGCAAAGAGUUGAUCCUCAACCUACUGAACCUACUGAAAAUGAAAAUGUCUGCUUUGAAAUUCCUUCGGGUAUGAUAGAAAAACCACUAGCUAAUCCUUUUGCAGGAGACGGAACAGUGCAUCCUGAUGAGCACCUAAUACAUGUGGAUGAAGUUUGUGGAUUAUUUAAGCUUGCAGGUGUACCCGAAGAUGUUAUUAAUAAGAAGGUCUUCCCUUUAUCUUUGAAGGAAGAUGCAUUGACAUGGUAUACGCUAUGUGAUGAUAUGGGGUCAUGGAACUACAAACGAUUGAAAUUGGAAUUUCAUAAGAAGUUUUAUCCUAUGCAUCUUGUUCAUCGUGAUCGCAAUUAUAUAUAUAAUGUUUGGCCUCGCGAAGGAGAAAGCAUCGCUCAAGCUUGGGGAAGGCUUAAAUUAAUGUUAUAUUCAUGCCCCAAUCAUGAGCUCUCAAGAGAAAUGAUUAUUCAAAAUUUAUAUGCUCGGCUUUCUGAUAACAAUCGCACCAUGCUCGAUACUUCUUGUGCUGGCUCUUUUAUGACGAAGACUAUUGAAUUCAAAUGGGAGUUAUUGGAAAGAAUUAAACGCAACUCUGAAGAUUGGGACCUCGACGAAGGUAAGGAGUGAGGUAUGACACCUAAAUUUGAUUGUGUUAAAUCUUUUAUGGAUACCGAUGUUUUCCGUAAAUUUAGCACUAAAUAUGGACUUGACUCUGAGAUAGUAGCUUCUUUCUGUGAAUCUUUUUCUACUCAUGUUGAUCUCCCUAGGGAGAAGUGGUUUAAAUAUCAUCCUCGCAUAGAAGUAAAAGUAGCCGCACCUAUUAAAGUUGAAGAAAAGACUAUCACCUAUAAUGAUCCUAUUGUUCCUACUGCUUAUCUUGAGAAACCACAUUUCCCUGUUAGGAUAAAGGAUCAUGCUAAAGCUUCAACUGUGGUUCGUAAAAGCAAUAUUAGAACUUAUACACCUUCUGAGCAAAUUAAAGUUGAACCUAAUAUUGCUAUUGUUAAAGAUCUCUUGUCCGAUAAUAUUGAUGGGCAUGUUAUUCAUUUCCGUGAUGAGACUGCUAGAAUUUCUAAACCUUGUGCUAAAGAUAAACCUAGAUCUUUGGUAGGCAUGCAUGUUAUUUCUGUUAAAAUAGGAGAUCAUUGUUAUCAUGGCUUAUGUGAUAUGGGUGCCUGUGCUAGUGCUAUACCUCAUGACUUAUACAAAGAAAUUAUGCAUGAUAUUGCACCUGCUGAGAUAGAAGAUAUUGAUGUCACAAUUAAACUUGCCAAUAGAGAUACUAUUUCACCAAUUGGAAUUGUUAGAGAUGUUGAAGUCUUGUGUGGGAAAACUAAAUAUCCUGCUGAUUUUCUUUUUCUUGGUUCCCCACAAGAUAGCUUUUGUCCCAUUAUAUUUGGUAGACCCUGAUGUCUACUACACAACCUUCUUCUUGUAGACGUUGUUGGGCCUCCAAGUGCAGAGGUUUGUAGGACAGUAGCAAUUUUCCCUCAAGUGGAUGACCUAAGGUUUAUCAAUCCGUAGGAGGCGUAGGAUGAAGAUGGUCUCUCUCAAGCAACCCUGCAACCAAAUAACAAAGAGUCUCUUGUGUCCCCAACACACCCAAUACAAUGGUAAAUUGUAUAGGUGCACUAGUUCGGCGAAGAGAUGGUGAUACAAGUGGUAUAUGGAUGAUUGAUAUAUGUUUUUGUAAUCUGAAAAUAUAAAAACAGCAAGGUCACUAAUGAUAAAAGUGAGCGUAAACGGUAUUGCAAUGCGUGGAAAUAAGGCCUAGGGUUCAUACUUUCGCUAGUGUAAGUUCCCUCAACAAUACUAACAUAAUUGGAUCACAUAACUAUCCCUCAACAUGCAACAAAGAGUCACUCCAAAGUCACUAAUAGCGGAGAACGAACGAAGAGAUUAUGGUAGGGUACGAAACCACCUCAAAGUUAUUCUUUCCAAUCAAUCCAUUGGGCUAUUCCUAUAAGUGUCACAAACAGCCCUAGAGUUCGUACUAGAAUAACACCUUAAGACACAAAUCAACCAAAACCCUAAUGUCACCUAGAUACUCCAAUGUCACCUCAAGUAUCGGUGGGUAUGAUUAUACGAUAUGCGUCACACAAUCUCAGAUUCAUCUAUUCAACCAACACAAAGGACCUCAAAGAGUGCCCCAAAGUUCCUACAGGAGAAUCACGACGAAAACAUGUGCCAACCCCUAUGCAUAGGUUCAUGGGCGGAACCCGCAAGUUGAUCACCAAAACAUACAUCAAGUGAAUCACGUGAUAUCCCAUUGUCACCACAGAUAUCCAUGGCAAGACAUACAUCAAGUGUUCUCAAAUCUUUAAAGACUCAAUCCGAUAAGAUAACUCCAAAGGGGAAACUCAAUUCAUUACAAGAGAGUGGAGGGGGGAAGAAACAUCAUAGGAUCCAAAUAUAAUAGCAAAGCUCGCGAUACACCAAGAUCGUAUCAUCUCAAGAACACGAGAGAGAGAGAGAGAGAGAGAGAGAGAUCAAACACAUAGCUACUGGUACAUACCCUCAGCCCCGAGGGAGAACUACUCCCUCCUUGUUAGGGAUAUAACUAUUUGUGUAAGCCGCCCAGGAGGGGCCGGGUUACGCAAAGAGGGACUCAUCAGAAGAAGCCCAAGAUCAAGCAUGAAGAUGGUGGUUCAAUAAAGGGUCUAAAGCCCAUAGGCGACUUAAGGCCCAUAGUGGUAAACCGCCAUGAUGGCAUGACUUGUAUCAUAAGGUAGAAUUAACUAGUCACCGAGCCGGAGACUGUCUAUGAGCCGGCCGGGACUCUGUAGGCCGCAGGGCGUCAACCCGUGUAUAUAAGGGGACGACCCGUCGGCGGCUUAAGGGCAAGAAAACAACUGAUCGAGCCAGGCAUAGCAUAUCUCGCUCCCUGGUCAUCGAAACCUCAAGCAAUACCAACCCAACUAGACGUAGGCCUUCCUUCACCAUAAGGGGCUGAACUAGUAUAAACCUCUCGUGUCCUUUGUCCCGAUUAACCCCUUUAAGCUUCCUAGUUGCGAUGGCUCCAUGACUAAGUCCUUGCAAGAGGACAUCCGCCGUGACAAUUCCACGACAGUUGGCGCCCACCAUGGGGCCAGCACACGAUGGGUUCGAGUUCUUGAAGGGCAGCUUCGAAGGGCUCGAGGGAUACGCAGUUGGCCGGAUGACCAAGAGUCGUCGCGGCAAGAUCUACAUCGAUGACAAAGGCUGGGGCCCUGACGCCGGUUCAAUUGAGUAUGGCUACCGGGUCUCCUUUGGCGGAAUUCAUGUCUUCAUCGGCCGGAUUGGUGAGCCGGGCCCUGAGCCGGACAGCUGCACCGACCUCGUCGAGACGGCUCAGCGUGCGAAACCCGCCGGAGCUCAACCCGUCGUGAAGCGUGCCUUUGUGGGUUGCAUCCAUGGAGGUGAACUUCCUGAAGGAUCGGAAGGUGAUGGUGAGCCGGCCGUCCUCUCUGACGAUAAUUCAUCCGCCGGCUCAACAGAUUCGCUGUAUCAAGUUCAAGAUGGCGUGCUUGGGGGCUGUUCCGAUGGCAGCACUAUUCCGGACCUCUCAGCGUCGCCAAACCGGGCAGGAGUCUUCAUGGCUGGUACUCAACCGGGCCAAAAUUCUACGGCUUCAGCGGCAAAAACGUCCGGGUUAGGAGCAGCCGGGGCAGGAGGCCCUGUGCGCUCACCGGCUCAGGUGCUGAUAGAUCUCAUGGAUAAGCUUACGACUUUGUUAACUGUUACAGUCAUCCCUGCGAACCAAUCUGAGCAUGAGGCGGAGGUGGCACAGGUUCGCGACGAGAUCGCCCGGGUCAAAGAAACCUUAGCAGCUGAGGACGCUAGAUUAGCAGCAGAGCGGGCGGCUUUGGACGUACGGGCGCAGCAACUUCGGGCAGAGGCCUUGCAGCUCACGUUGAGCCUGAACGCAUCUAAUGAGGUAAUGAGGAGGAGACAUCAGAAAACUCAGUCCCGUUUACCUCAGAAUUAUGAUCCUCGGAAUCUCUUUGCUACACCCGGGGUCGGCCCAAGUAACCCGCCAGGUGCGAAUCAGCUUAUUACAUCCGGAGCGGGAGGUCCAGUCUGGCCUUAGGGGAUGGCAUCGCCUCACGGCAAUAUGGCACCGCCCAAUUACGUGCCAAUACCGCAGGGUCACUUCUCCAACCCCAUGGAGAACUUAAUUGCAUCAUCAGCACGUUUGGCGGCUCUCCCGGUAGAUGGGAAUGAUCCGACAGCGGUGGAAACCCGAAAGAUCAGAGAACUUGUCCAAAUAGCCCUGGCUCAGCAAGACCUACUCCUACAGCCGGGAUAGGAUUCACUCGACUCCACCGCCCUGGUUAGCUCCGCCUUGUCAAAAUCGGAGCCCGAGUUAUAGUAAGAACAUGGAAUCAGAGGCCUUGUCAAGUAACGCUCAGCGCUGGAACCAGCCCGGCGGGCAUAACCCGGUUCAGGAUUGGAUACGUCAGGAGGACGAGCGGGCCGCUCAGCUAGCGGCUCAGCUAGCAGCCCAACAGAACUCACCGGCUUACCUGACGACUUCCGUUGAAGCGGGGGUUGCUACUAGAACCGGAGGAGUUCCUUGUCUGGUACCGGCUUUACGUAAUGUAUGUCUGCCCAAGGAUUUCAAGGGGCCUCGGAAGGUGCCGAAUUAUACUGCCGAUUUACAGCCUGGGGCAUGGAUUGAAAGUUAUGAGAUGGCUAUGGAGCUGCUAGAGGUUAGUGAUGAGGCGAUGGCUAAAUAUUUCACCAUGAUGCUGGACGGAACGGCCCGUUCUUGGUUAAAGGGUUUGCCACCCAACUCCAUUAGUUCAUGGGCAGAGCUAAAAGCCCGUUUCAUCCAGAACUUCAAAGAUACUUGCAAGAAGUUUAUUUCAAUUGUGGAUCUGACAAAUUGUAAGCAGGAAGAAGGUGAAUCUACGACUCAUUGGGUGCGCCGGGUCAAGGAUAUAAUACAUUCGUCUGACAAGAUGGAUGCCGGCUCAGCAGUUCUCAUGUUGGAGAAGAAUUGCCGCUUUGAACCUCUGGGACAGAAGCUGGGGCGCCUUAAGCGUGAUUGCAACGAUAUGGGGACGCUGAUGGCGGCUUUAGUCAAGUAUGCCGAUUCUGAUAGUACCAAGGAUCCCGUGUCUGAUGAGGAAAAGACAGGGAAGGGAAAUAAGAACGGCAAUGGAAAGGGUCAGCAGCAUAACCCGGUGAGUCAAGGAGGUAAUAAGCGUAAGGCGGACAGUAACCCGGAAUUUGUGGCCAAUGCACAGGGUAACAAUCAGAAGCACAAGGGAAAGCCACCCCGGUUUGGUGGGUCAGGUCCGUCUCUCAAGCAACUACUCAAUGAACCCUGCCCAAAACACGGUACCCGGGAACGACCAGCGACUCAUUUAUGGAAGGAUUGCGCAAUCAUGAAAGCUUUCAAGAAUUCUAACACAUUUGAUGGCAAUCAAGGCCCAGGCGGCGGUUCAGGAGCCGGCGGCUUUCAUGGCCCGGGCGGUGGUUCAGGAUCCGGUUUUCAGGGAAGCCAGGGUGGUUAUAAUCAACAGCAGUCUGGUCAAGGAGGUCAGCAACAGCAGCAGUCGGGUUAUCAGAGCCAUCCGAAACAGUUAAGCAGUGGGCAGUAUCACGUGUUCACCACAAGUUUGUGUAAAUGUGAUCAGAAAGUUCAUAAGAGGGCUGUGAAUUCUGUUGAACCGGCAGUCCCUUGUUACUUGAGGUGGUCGGAACAGCCUAUUGUCUGGAGCAGGGAGGAUCACCCUCCCCGGGUUGAUAAUCCGGGUCAACUGGCCCUAGUGGUGGCACCGCAAGUUGGUGGUUAUAAGUUUACUAAAGUGCUCAUGGAUGGAGGUAGCAGCAUCAACAUCCUCUAUUACGAGACCUUUCGGCGCAUGGGCUUAACUGAUAAGAAUUUAAAGACUUCCAACACCGUCUUCCAUGGAGUGGUGCCCGGUAAGUCGGCGUAUCCUGUGGGGAAGAUUGAGCUAGAGGUGGCCUUCGAAGACGAGCGUGAUUCUAGGGCGGAAAAGUUAACUUUUGAGGUGGUCAAAAUCAAAGUCCAUAUCACGCUUUGUUCGGGCGGCCAGCCUAUGCCAAAUUCAUGGCACGACUGUGUUAUGUGUAUCUACAGCUCAAGAUGCCGGGUUACAAGGGUACCAUCACUGUGCAUGGAAGCCGAAAGGUGGCCCUGGAGUGUGAAGAGGGCGAUGCGGCUUACGCCGAGUCUGUCUGUGCAGCGGAGGAGCUCAAAUUUUAUCAAGGUAACAUUGACCCGGCAGAUAUGACUUCUCUCAAGAAGCCGACUACGGAGCAUGACCCGGCCAUGAAGUUUAAAUCGGCUGCAGAGACUAAGCUUGUUGAUUUCACUCCAGGCGAUUCAUCUAAGCAAUUCAACAUCAGUGCCAACUUGGAUCCUAAAUAGGAAAGCGCGCUCAUCGAGUUCAUCCGUGAGAACCGGGACAUCUUUGCAUGGAAACCUUCUGACAUGCCGGGUGUACCAAGAGAACUCGCUGAGCACACUCUUAAUAUUGAUCCGAAGUAUAAGCCGGUCAGGCAAUUUCUGCGGCGAUUCAAUGAAGAGUGACAAAAAGCUAUAGGAGAAGAGGUCGCCCGGCUCUUGGCGGCUGGGUUUAUUGUUGAAGUUUUUCAUCCAGAAUGGUUGGCUAACACGGUGCUCGUACUCAAGAAAAAUGGCACCUGGCGGAUGUGUGUGGAUUACACGGACCUAAAUAGGGCUUGUCCGGCCGAUCCUUUUGCUCUCCCCCGUAUUGAUCAAAUCAUUGAUGCUACGGCAGGUUGUGCGCAUUUGAGUUUUUUGGAUGCUUAUUCUGGCUAUCAUCAGAUCAAGAUGGCAGUUAAGGACCAGGAGAAAACGGCCUUCAUCACCCCGUUUGGAGCCUUCUGCUAUGUGUCUAUGCCGUUUGGGCUCAAGAGUGCCCAGGCGACUUAUCAAUGAUGUGUACAGAAUUGUCUUCACGAUCAGAUUGGGCGCAAUGUUCAUGCUUAUGUGGAUGACAUAGUAGUGAAAUCCAGAGAGGCAGAAACCUUGAUAUCUGAUCUCAGAGAAACCUUUGACAAUCUCCGGGUUUACAAAAUGAUGCUUAACCCGGAGAAGUGUGUAUUUGGUGUGCCUGCAGGCAAGCUUUUGGGAUUCUUGGUCUCAAACAGGGGCAUCGAGGCUAAUCCGGAGAAGAUUAAGGCAAUCACUUCUUUGGCUAAACCGGCAUGUAUUAAUGAUGUUCAGCGAUUGGCGGGUCGUGUUGCCGCUUUGAGCCGGUUCAUAAGCCGGUUAGGUGAGAAGGCCCUACCGCUGUACCAAUUAAUGAAGAAGGCAGACACCUUUGUCUGGAGUGAUGCCGCUAAUGCUGCUUUUGAGGAUUUGAAGAGGCAGUUAUCUGAACCACUGGUUCUUGCGGCUCCCAUUGACAAGGAGCCUUUGCUGUUAUAUGUGGCUGCUAAUUCACGAGCCGUCAGUGUGGCGAUUGUGGUAGAGCGCGAGGAGGCUGGUAAGGAACACUCGGUUCAACGGCCGAUUUAUUAUGUCAGUGAGGUACUCAUCGAGUCAAAGCAAAGAUAUCCUCAUUGGCAGAAACUUGUUUACGGGGUGUUCAUGGCAAGCCGAAAGCUGAAGCAAUACUUCCAAGGUCACCCUAUCACUGUGGUAAGUUCUGCCCCCUUGGGAGACAUUAUUCAGAACAGAGAGGCUACAGGACGAGUCGCCAAAUGGGCCAUCGAGCUCGGGCCUCAUGGUCUGAAGUACGCGCCGCGCACUGCCAUUAAGUCCCAAGCUUUGGUGGAUUUCAUCAACGACUGGACAGAGCUACAGGCACCUGAGGAGAAGCCCGAUAACACUUAUUGGAUUAUUCACUUUGAUGGGUCCAGACAGUUGGAAGGCUCGGGGGCCGGAGUUGUAUUAACUUCCCCUCGGUGUGACAAAUUUUGUUAUGUGCUCCGGCUUAUGUUUCCUUGCACUAACAAUGCAGCUGAGUAUGAGGCCCUGCUCCAUGGUCUCCGGAUAGCCAAAGAGAUGAACUUGAUCCGGGUAAGAUGCUUAGGAGACUCAGACCUUGUGGCUCAACAGGUGUCAGGCAAGUGGGACUCUAAAGAUCCCCUCAUGGCGGCUUACCGUCGUGAAGUCGAUGUUGUGGCUGGAUAUUUCAAGGGUUGCGUAGUGGAACACAUUGAUCGAAGGAAGAAUGAGGCGGCGGAUGCCUUAAGCCGGCUGGAGUGAUUCAACGUUGCGUGUCACCUGCAAAGGGUCAGGAGGUCCUUCGUGAAAUUCAUGAAGGUGAUUGUGGUCAUCACACCGGAUCAAAAUCUCUUGUGGCCAAAGCCUUCCGUCAUGGGUUCUAUUGGCUGACGGCUCAUGCUGAUGCGGAAGACCUGGUCAGUAAAUGUGACGGAUGUCAGAAAUUCUCACGACGAGCCCAUGUGCCGGCUCAAGAGUUAAGGAUGAUUCCAAUUACCUGGCCGUUUGCAGUCUGGGGGCUUGAUAUGGUCGGGCCUUUCAAGAGAUCUAAGGAUAAAAAGACUAACCUCUUGGUGGCAGUUGACAAGUUCACAAAGUGGGUGGAGGCGGAGCCAGUCAGUAAGUGUUAUGCAGCCACAGCAGUCCAGUUUAUGAAAAAGGUGAUUUUUCGCUUUGGUUUUCCACACAGCAUCAUAACUGAUAAUGGUACUAACCUUUCCAAAGGAGCUAUGGAAGAGUUCUGUCAACGAGAGCAUAUCCGGCUUGACGUUUCAGCUGUAGCUCACCCUUAAUCAAAUGGCCAAGCAGAAUGAGCCAAUCAAGAAAUCUUGAAGGGUAUCAAGCCCCGGCUCUUGGUCCCUUUACAGCGGACGCCGGGUUGUUGGGUGGAGGAGUUAUCUUCUGUACUCUGGAGCAUCAAUACUACCCCUAACAGAUCUACGGGUUACACGCCUUUCUUUAUGGUGUAUGGAGCAGAGGCGGUCCUGCCAAGUGACAUCCGUCACGAUUCACCCCGUGUGGCGGCUUAUGUUGAGGAAGACAAUGAAAAAGCUCGGCAAGAUGCACUUGACCUGUUGGAUGAAGAGCGAGACUUGGCAAUAGCCCGCUCGGCAAUUUACCAACAAGACCUGCGUCGCUACCACAGCCGCCAGGUUAAGUCCAGAACCUUUCAGGAAGGCGACUUAGUGCUCCGACUCAUCCAGGAUCAAUCUAACAUACACAAGCUAUCCCCUCCUUGGGAAGGACCCUUUGUGGUCAGCAAGAAUCUGAACAAUGGAUCAUACUACCUUAUCGACGUUUGAGAGCAUAAAGACUCAUGUAAGUCGGAGGAGGAGACCUGUCGGCCGUGGAAUAUCGCCCAUCUUCGGCCUUAUUAUACUUGAGCCGUCAGCUCUAAUGUGUAUAUACUUAUACUAUGUAUAUUAUAUAAAUCAAUAAAGCAGGACCUCUGUCCUUUUUUCCACUCCCAAAAAAGGUUUAUGUGUUUUUCCUUGACAGGUGGUGGAGAUAACCAAGGAGAAGCGGAUCAUAUCUGAAUCCGGCUUUCCUUUGGUCCGGCUUAUGAUCAUAUCUGAAUCUAGCCGUUGAUCACUUGGGGGCUUCCUGUUCAAACAUAGGUCGUAUUCGAACCAAAGAGAACAUAGCUGUCGAUACCCGUUUGAUCGGCAUACUGCCAAACCCACUUGGGGGCUUCUUGAUCAUAUCUGAAUCAUAGCUUAACUCCUUUUGGGUCUGACAUGGAUCGUAUUCGAAUCAGCGUCAUUAAACAACUCUUAUGGUCACUUGGGGGCUUCCUGUUCAAACAUAGGUCGUAUUCGAACCAAAGAGAACAUAGCUGUCAAUACCCACUUGAUUGGCAUCGCCACAGCCACUGGGGGCUAACAGAUCGUAUCCGAAUCUUAGCUCAACCCCUUUGGAACGGGUCACUGAUCGUAUUCGAAUCAGAAACCCUUGAAUUUUGUUCAUCAUAUUUUACAAGUGCCAACAUUAGGUAUCUUGUGACCCUCUUGAAAAUACAAUGGAAUACAUUACAGUCUUCCAGAAUUAAUGUUAGUUACAUCAGGUUGUUAAGAACCAGGUGAACUUAUAUGUGCCAAUUUUCAGGAGUUAAGUUUACCCUCAGGGGUUGGUUUAUAUAAGCCGGAAAAAACAGAUGUGAGCACUACAGGGCAAUGCAAGGUAUUUUUGCAAAGGACAUAACAGAUUCAUACAAACUACAAAGAGAAUAAUGGCGGCGGCUUAUGCAAGUAUUAAGGGCCAUAAGCAUGCGCAAAGGCAUAGCAAAACUCAAGGUAUAUUUUACUUUGUUACAAGACUCCCCGAGUCUGAAUGAUGCAUUGUUUUCUACGAUGACAUAAGCAGGUGGUGCCUGACAAGCUACUCUUGGGGUUGACUUGAAGCCCCCGGGUUAUCCUUCUCCGUCUCUCCGCCGGCUGCUUUGUCCUGGAAGGAUGAUGAGGCCCAGUCAAUGCCACUCAAGGCUUCAAACUCGGCUUCAUCAUCUAUUAAACCGGUUGGGUCGACUUCAGGAGCAAAGGUGUGCUUACGGGUUGGAGAGAUCAAGCUGACAUCGUCGUAAUGUGGCAUGGGGAUUCUCCGGUUCUCCUUGUCAUAACCCGGCUGACACUUGGUGAGGUCAGUAUCGUUCCCAAUAAGAGUAGCCACCGGACGUAUAUCCUUCACACAGGCGGUGAAAUCCUUAUCAUUAAAUACGGUGCCAUCUUCCUUUAAACUUGGAUACCCAAGAGCAAUGUCAGCGGGAUCUAGUUCUGGAAGCCACGCCUUGGUCCGGCUCAAUGCGGCUAUAGCUCUGGCUCUUGCAGAUGCUCGUCUUAACUCUUGGAUUCGCUGUGGUAGCACAGCAAGACGCUUCAGCACAUCUUGCAGGAGAUAAGGAACAUCGUUUGAUAAAGCCACAACGGCCAGAGCACGUUGUGACCCGGUGUAGAGUUGUUCCACCAGAGUAUAAACCGCCUUCAGCUUAAUCACCAUGUUCUGCUUAAGAUUUGUGCUCCUGGGGCCUGCGUUAUUAAGCAUAAGGUGAGUCAGAGGAGACAACUGAAAUGGUCAUUCAAGGAGUUUUGCAGUGUUUAAGGUUUGAAUAAGUCACUCACCGAAGAUUGCUGAAACCAUUCGAGAUAUCUGACGCUUUAAGUCGGACAGUUCGGCCGUUGCUUCCGCAAGCGAUGCCUCUGCUGUCUCGGCCCGGGUCACCAGUGCGGCCUUUUCAUCAGCCCAAGUUUUCUUCUCUGAUUGAAAAUUUUGCUUCAACUUCUCUUGUUCAGAGACGCUGAAUUCAAAUUUGGAGUUGGCCUUUUCAAUUUCACUUUCCUGGGUUGCCAGGCGAUUCUUCAAAUCAGCAAUCUCCAAUUCAAAUUUACUUAUGGUGGCCUGCAUUGCACCAGAUAGUAGUAAAAGUUACGGUAAGUACUAUUAAGUCCCAAGCACUUUGCAAGCAAAGAUACUUGACACUUGGGGGCUAAUGUAUACUGAAGCUUUCUAAAUUAUUAAGCCGGUCUUGAAUAUUAAGUCCCAAAUACCUUGCAAGCAAAGAUUUUUGGCACUUGGGGGCUAAUGUAUAUCGCAAGUUAAAGGUAUUGUGUUACACCUGGUUCAAUUAUUUUUUCUUUAAGCCGGAUAAGUAGCUCUAACAAUUUUUCUAAGUCUACAUCAUAUUUAUUCAUAAGCAAUAGACUUGCGGCUGGUACAGUAAGUGUGAUUGAAAGUAAGCUAGUAUAAGUCAUACCUCAGAUUUUUGCUGUAUCUGCUUCACCAUGUCAAUUUCCAGGUCACGGCUGCUUUGUACUUGAUUGAUAUAGCCGGAGACAAUCUCUCCAAUACUCAAAUGAGUAUAGUCAGCGACAUCUAGCUUGGCCUUCCAGCGUUCCACCAAUUCCUUUUUAGAACACUUGGCAAGUGCAGACGACUGUGCUGGCUCAACAAAUUGAGUCUUGAGAAUUUCAACUUCCUGAUCAUUUGCCUUGGCGGGGCUAGGAGCCUCCGGGUUACCAGAAUCGUUGAGGGUUUGUUCAGUAGGCGGGUCAGAGGAAGAUAUAGGAACAUCAUGAGAUGGUUGAGGCGGCGGCUCGUGAGCAGAGGCAUCAGGAGUAGCUGUGCCCAACUCUGGUUCAGUCACAACCGGCUCUUGGGGCAGCUUAUUCUUUUUUGCCCUUUUGCUGGGCUUUACUUGCACACUUUGGAAAAGGUAGACAAGUUAAAUACAGCAAAUAUGAGUAAAAUAAAGCAUAAGGUACAACAAGUUUAUAUUACCCGGGAGCAGUUUUGAAGGCUGGCAUGUUGGACUGCAUAGACUCACCGGAGGAAGGUGAAAUAUCCUGAUAGUUGGAGUCAGAAUAAUUGAGAGCCUAACAAAUGAAGCCUACCAAAGGAAAAAGAAGGUGUAAAUUGGAGAUAACCUCAGUCUGGCGUUUCCGGGUCACAUCAGGUAAGCCGGAGGAGAGUUCCGCAUCUUUGCUGGUCCGGGUCUGCCUCCGGCUCUCAUAAUUCUGUCGCUUCAAAAGAAAGUCAGGAUCUUGGUAAGCCAAAGGAUGUGAAAAUCUUACUUUCCGGGUUACUCUUCGAAUUUUCUGACGCGGCUGAAGCUCGGAGUCGGAGGAGAUUACAAUUACCUCUUCCUCGAUGGGUUGGCUGUUGCCCGUGUCUUCCUGAAAGAAGGUUAGCAUCAGUAAGGUAGAAAUAAAGGAGAAAGGGAAUUUCAAAGGUUACCUCUUCCUCAUUAUCAUCAGUAUCAUCAAGCUGAAACAGCUCAGAGGCGCUUGGCUUCCUUUUCCUUGAGGUGGUGGGCUUGGUGGUUUUCUUUUCGGCUCUCUUGGCCGCCCUGGCUUUCUUGGCCGCCUCAUGAUCAUAUUGCGUGUUCCAGAAGCUAUCAUUUGCCUGUAAAAGGUUAUAACUGGUCAUGCGUAAGAAUACAGCCUAACAUGAUAAAACAUAACCCGAUGGCUGGAAACUUACUGCAGGGGCCAGGUUCUUCUGGCAAAAAGGUAGUAAGCCGAAGGCAUUACUAUUCACUGUGCCCUCUUUCAACAAGGUCUGAGAUGUAGCUUCCACUACGUCAUCUGGUAAGUCGUCAGGGUUAUGACAUUGAGGGUCAUUCUUCUCGCCUGAAUAAUUACACAUUAAGCCGGGGCGGCGGCUUAACGGAAUUAUUCUCCAAGCAAUCCAGACUCGGACCAAGUCAAUGCCAUCUAAGCCGUUCCCUAAAAGAGCUUUAAUCCUCUUGAUUUUGGGGGUGAGUGGCAGGCGUUCAAUAGCUAUCAACUUAUCCGGCAGCGGGUGAGUAGGUUCAAGGCGCAAUGCACGGAAGCCGGGCAGUGGAUUUUCGCCAGCCGGAGAAGUAUCUUGGCAGUAGAACCAUGUCUAGUUCCAGUCCUUUGGAUGACUCGGCAAUUCAGCAUAAGGGAACAGGCAGUCUCUCCACCUUUGAAUUGAUAUGCCACCAAGCUCCAGACUGGGCCCGUUGGCCCGUUCAUUCUCCCGGUUCAAAUAGAACAAUUCCCUGAACAUGAGUAGGUUGGGUUCUUCUCCAAGGUAAACCUCACAGAAAACUUGAAAGUUGCAGAUAUUUGACACGGAGUUGGGCCCGAUGUCUUGAGGUCUUAAGUCAAAGAAGUGCAAAACGUCUCUAAAGAAUUUUGAACCGGGAGGAGCAAAUCCCCGGCUCACAUGAUCGGUAAAAAUGAUCACCUCCCCUUCCUUGGGUUGAGGUUUCUCUUCAGACGGGUCAGGAGCACGAUAAGACAUGGCGUCCUUCUUGGGCAGAUGGCCGGACUUCACAAGCUCUGACAGUUUGUUCUCCGUAACAAUGGAUGGGACCCAGUUGCAGGUAAUCAGAGGUUUAACAGCUUUGGGUGCCAUUGAGUAAAUUGAAGCCUACAACAAGAUAAAGGAAAUUUUCCGGUUUAUUAUAACCCGGAGAAUAAGUAUUAUUGGGUUGUCUGAGAUGGCGGCUUAAGUAGGGGCCUAAUGACAUACAGGUGGUUGUGUGAUAAUGUUUAAACAACCGCAAGUAUUAACGAUGAUGAAAAUUGUCUUAAGUCGCCAAAAGCAGGCAGUGCUGACAGUCAGUAUUAUCUUAAACUGGUCACAUGAACUACUAUGGCUGAAACAGAGUCGACAGAUGCCGUUUUUUGGCUAAGUGUGGAACAAACAGGUUUCACAAGUUGCAGCUAUUAUUUUGGAUCAAACGAUCAUUCUGAAAAGAAAAAUUUCUAGACCUAAAACCAGUGCAGAGAAGUUCAUACACUCGAAAGAGGCCUUUAAACAAGGGAAAUGAGAUCUAUUUCUAUUCGAGAUGGGUGCGGAACAACCGCCAUAGUAGUUCUAACUGUCUAAAGAUCAAAAAGGAGCACUGAGGAGGAAAACUAUCAAGGGUUUGCAACGGGCGGCGAUGAACACCGACGAACUCGGGAGGCUGCAAUGCAGAUCUAAAAGCAGGGAAGGAAAAGGACUUACGGAUGCAGAGCUGUUGCACGGUUCCGUCGCGUUUCUCUGGUCAAGUCAGGUUGAUGCAGCGGCCUGAGUUGGAGAAGACGAGGAAAUCUGCGGCGGCGGCGGCGGCAGAGCUCGAGCGGCAGAGAAACAGUGCAAGGAGGAAGACGACCGAGGAAGGAGAAUGGGAAAGACCUAGGUCGCACCUAUUUAUAAGGAAGGGCCGACUGAGACGGCGCGAGAAACGAGGGGACCUAACAUCAUUAUCCAGCGACCCCGAUGCCUCGUUUUUCGGAAUGGUCAGUAAAGGCAAAGAUCCGUUGGAAGAUAUGAUGGAGUAAAAUAUGAAUUUAAUUGAAGAUGAUGUCACGACGGGUUAACGCAGAUCCAGAAGAUGACAUCAUGGCGGGUUAAAACCUUUGCGCAGACAAGAAGACUGAAGGCUUGUUUCUUAAGGUAUUUUAAGAUUGACAUGAACCGGUUCAAAUCAAUCUGGGGCCUCGUGUUGGGGAUAUAACUAUUUGUGUAAGCUGCCCAGGAGGGGCCGGGUUACGCAAAGAGGGACUCAUCAGAAGAAGCCCAAGAUCAAGCAUGAAGAUGGCGAUUCAAUAAAGGGUCUAAAGCCCACAGGCGACUUAAGGCCCAUAGUGGUAAACCGCCAUGAUGGCAUGACUUGUAUCAUAAGGUAGAAUUAACUAGUCACCGAGCCGGAGACUGUCUAUGAGCCGGCCGGGACUCUGUAGGCCGCAGGGCGUCAACCCGUGUAUAUAAGGGGACGACCCGUCGGUGGCUUAAGGGCAAGAAAACAACUGAUCGAGAGCCAGGCAUAGCGUAUCUCGCUCCCUGGUCAUCGAAACCUCAAGCAAUACCAACCCAACUAGACGUAGGCCUUCCUUCACCGUAAGGGGCUGAACUAGUAUAAACCUCUCGUGUCCUUUGUCUCGAUUAACCCCUUUAAGCUUCCUAGUUGCGAUGGCUCCAUGACUAAGUCCUUGCAAGAGGACAUCUGCCGUGACAAUUCCACGACUCAUGGAGAGCACCGGGAUGAUGAAGAUGGCCACCGAAGAAGGAUUGCCCCCUCCGGCAGGGUGCCGGAACGGGUCUAGAUUGGCUUUCGGUGGCUACGGAGGCUUCUGGCGGCGGAACCCCCGAUCUAUUGUGCUCCCCGAUGUUUUUAGGGUAUAUGGAGAUAUAUAGGCGGAAGAAGUACAUCAGGGGGCCACGAGGGGCUCAUGAGGGUGGAGGGCGCGCCCAGGGGGGUGGGCGCGCCCCCUGCCUCCUCACCUCCUCGCAGAUCCCCCGACGUGCACUCCAAGUCUUCUGGGCUUCUUUCCUUCCAAAAAUGAGUUCCGUGAAGUUUCAGGUCAAUUGGACUCCAUUUGAUUUUCCUUUUCUUCGAAACCCUAAAACAGGGUAAAAACAGAAACUGGCACUGGGCUCUGGGUUAAUAGGUUAGUCCCAGAAAAUGAUAUAAAAGUGUAUAAUAAAGCCCAUAAACAUUCAAAACAGUAAAUAAUAUAGCAUGGAGCAAUAAAAAAUUAUAGAUACGUUGGAGACGUAUCAGACCCUUCUUCAACACUGUUAAUGCUAAGAUAGAUUGCAAACAGGAUGUUGUUACUAUUGGUUUAGAUGAUAUGUCUCAUGAAUUUAAUUUCUCUAAAUUUCAUAGACAACACCGUGAAGAGGAAUUACCUAGUAAAGAUGAAAUUAUUGGUCUUGCUUCUAUUGUCGUACCUCCUAGUGAUCCUUUAGAACAAUAUUUGCUGGACCAUGAAAAUGAUAUGUUUAUGAAUGAAAGAAGGGAAAUAGAUGAAGUAUUCUUUAAACAGGAACCCAUCCUGAAACACAAUUUGCCUGUUGAAAUCCUAGGGGAUCCUCCUCCACCCAAGGGUGAUCCCGUGUUUGAUCUUAAACCAUUACCUGAUACUCUUAAAUAUGCUUAUCUUGAUGAGAAAAAGAUAUAUCCUGUUAUUAUUAGUGCUAACCUUUCAGAGCAUGAAGAAGAGAUAUUAUUGAGAACUCUGAAGAAGCACCGUGCUGCUAUUGGAUAUACUCAUGAUGAUCUUAAGGGCAUUAGUCCCACUCCGUGUCAACACAAAAUAAAUUUAGAGGAAGAUGCCAAACCAGUUCAUGAUCAUCAACGGCUGAAUCCUAAGAUGAAGGAAGUGGUAAGAAAGGAAAUACUAAAGCUUCUUGAGGCAGGUAUAAUUUAUCCCGUUGCUGAUACUCAGUGGGUAAUUCCUGUCCAUUGUGUCCCUAAGAAGGGAGGUAUUACUGUCGUUCCUAAUGAUAAAGAUGAGUUGAUCCCGCAAAGAAUUAUUACAGGUUAUAGGAUGGUAAUUGAUUUCCGCAAAUUAAAUAAAGCUACUAAAAAAGAUCAUUACCCUUUACCUUUUAUCGAUCAAAUGCUAGAAACAUUAUCCAAACAUACACAUUUUUGCUUUCUAGAUGGUUAUUCUGGUUUCUCUCAAAUACCUGUGUCGGCCAAUGAUCAAUCAAAGACUACUUUUACUUACCCUUUUGGUACUUUUGCGUAUAGACAUAUGCCUUUUGGUUUAUGUAAUGCACCUGCUACCUUUCAAAGAUGCAUGAUGGCUAUAUUCUCUGACUCUUGUGAAAAGAUUUGUGAGGUUUUCAUGGACGAUUUUUCCGUCUAUGGAUCCUCUUUUGAUGAUUGCUUAAGCAACCUUGACCGAGUUUUGCAGAGAUGUGAAGAAACUAAUCUUGUCUUGAAUUGGGAAAAGUGCCACUUUAUGGUUAAUGAAGGUAUUGUCUUGGGGCAUAAAGUUUCUGAAAGAGGUAUUGAGGUUGAUAAAGCCAAGGUUGAUUCUAUUGAAAAGAUGCCAUGUCCCAAGGACAUCAAAGGUAUAAGAAGUUUCCUUGGUCAUGCCGGGUUUUAUAGGAGGUUCAUUAAGGACUUCUCCAAAAUUUCCCGGCCUCUGAAUAAUUUAUUACAUAAGAUAUACCAUUUGUUUUUUAUGAUGAUUGCGUAGAAGCAUUUGAAAUACUUAAGAGAGCAUUAAUCUCUGCACCUAUUGUUCAGCCACCUGACUGGAAUUUACCUUUUGAAAUUAUGUGUGAUGCUAGUGAUUAUGCUGUAGGUGCUGUUCUAGGGCAAAGAAUUGAUAAGAAACUAAAUGUUAUUCAAUAUGCUAGUAAAACUCUAGACAAUGCAAAGAGAAAUUAUGCUACUACUGAAAAAGAAUUCUUAGCAGCUGUAUUUGCUUGUGAUAAGUUCAGACCUUAUAUUGUUGAUUCUAAAGUAACUAUUCACAUGGAUCAUGUUGCUAUUAAAUACCUUAUGGAAAAGAAAGAUGCUAAACCUAGACUUAUUAGAUGGGUUCUAUUGCUACGAGAAUUUGAUUUGCAUAUUAUUGAUAGAAAGGGAGCUGAGAACCCCGUUGCAGACAAUUUGUCUAGGUUAGAAAAUGUUCUUGAUGACCCACUACCUAUUGAUGAUAGCUUUCCUGAUGAACAAUUAAAUGUCAUAAAUGCUUCUCAUACUGCUCCAUGGUAUGCUGAUUAUGCUAAUUACAUUGUUGCUAAAUUUAUACCACCUAGUUUCACAUACCAGCAAAAGAAACAAUUCUUCUAUGAUUUGAGACAUUACUUUUGGGAUGGCCCACAUCUUUAUAAAGAAGGAGUAGAUGGUGUUAUUAGACGUUGUGUACCUGAGCAUGAACAACAACAGAUCCUACGCAAGUGUCAUUCCAAGGCUUAUGGAGGACACCACGCUGGAUAGAACUGCACAUAAGGUAUUACAAUCCGGUUUUUAUUGGCCUACUCUCUUCAAGGAUGCCCGUAAGUUUGUCUUAUCUUGUGAUGAAUGUCAAAGAAUUGGUAAUAUUAGUAGACAUCAAGAAAUGCCUAUGAACUAUUCACUUGUUAUUGAACCAUUUGAUGUUUGGGGCUUUGAUUAUAUGGGACCUUUUCCUGCCUCUAAUGGUUAUACACAUAUUUUAGUUGCUGUUGAUUAUGUUACUAAGUGGGUAGAAGCUAUUCCAACUAGUAGUGUUGAUCAUAACACCUCUAUUAAGAUGAUUAAAGAAGUUAUUUUUCCAAGGUUUGGAGUCCCUAGAUAUUUAAUGACUGAUGGUGGUUCACAUUUUAUUCAUGGUGCUUUCCGUAAAAUGCUUGCUAAAUAUGAUGUUAAUCAUAGAAUUGCAUCUCCUUAUCACCCACGGUCUAGUGGUCCAGUAGAAUUGAGUAAUAGAGAACUCAAAUUAAUUUUGCAAAAGACUGUUAAUAGAUCUAGAAAGAAUUGGUCCAAGAAACUUGAUGAUGCAUUAUGGGCCUAUAAAACUGCAUAUAAAAAUCCUAUGGGUAUGUCUCCGUAUAAAAUGGUUUAUGGAAAAGCAUGUCACUUACCUCUCAAACUAGAACAUAAGGCUUAUUGGUCUAUUAAAGAGCUCAAUUAUGAUUUCAAACUUGCCGGUGAGAAGAGGUUAUUUGAUAUUAGCUCACUUGAUGAAUGGAGAACCCAAGCCUAUGAAAAUGCCAAGUUGUUUAAAGAGAAAGUUAAAAGAUGGCAUGACAAAAGGAUACAAAAGCGUGAGUUUAAUGUAGGUGAUUAUGUAUUGCUAUACAACUCUCGCUUAAGAUUUUUUGCAGGAAAACUUCUCUCUAAAUGGGAAGGUCCUUACGUUAUCGAGGAGGUCUAUCGUUCCGGUGCCAUAAAAAUCAACAACUUCGAAGGCACAAAUCCGAAGGUGGUGAACGGUCAAAGAAUUAAACAUUAUAUCUCAGGUAAUCCUAUAAAUAUUGAAACCAAUGUUAUUGAAACCGUAACCCCGGAGGAAUACACAAGGGACACUUUCCGGAAUGUUUCAGACUCCGAAAAGGAAUAGGUAUGUGGUACGGUAAGUAAACCGACUCCAAAACAGUUCUAAUGGCAAUUUUCUUCCGUUUUGGAAUAUUUAGAAAAAUAGAAAAUAAGAAGAAGUCCGGGAAGGACACGAGGGCUCCACGAGGGUGGAGGGCGCGCCCCCUACCUCGUGGGCACCUCGUGUGCUCUCCGGACUCCGUUUUAUUACACAUUACGUAUUUUGGUCGGUAAAAAUUCAUUAUAUGAUCUCCCGGAGGUUUUGACCACUGUAUCACGCAAAACUCCUCCGUUCUUGUUUCGAGCUGUUUUUUGCCAGGGUUGCCAUACCAAGCAUCAUGUCGUCUCCCUCCUCCUCCAACAAUGAGGGCAACGAUACUUGGCUAAUGAAGAUAGAGCUGAAGAGAGAAGAACCCAUGGAGAUCAACAAGGAUGAAGGGAUCAAGAAGGCCACAAGGGACCAAGUUUUGGCAACAGAAGACAUCCUUCAACUUGAUCACAAUCUUCUUACCCCAACUGAGAUCGAAGCUUUCAAGAUGAUUGAGUUAGCUCGUAUACAAAACAAAUAUCUCCCCCGUGAAAAUAUUUUGUUGAAGGAGCAUACCAUUGCACUCAAGGGCAUUAUACACAAGUUGGAAGACCUCUUACGCUCGAUGUGCGACUAUCCAUCAUCACCAACAACUCCUUCACCGGCAAAAGAGAUAUAAUCACAUGGGUAUGGGCACUCCCCUUGGCAACUGCCAAGCUUGGGGGAGUGCCCCGGUAUCGUAUCAUCAUCACUUUUAUCUUUACCAUUUUUCUUAGUUCGAUCCUUUUGGUAAUAUCUUGAUCUAGUAGAAUAAAAGUUUUUAGUAUGAUCCAGUUGUGAGUUUUGCUUUACGAUCCUUCUAUGUAAUCAAGUCCGUGAGCUAUAUAUAAUAAAGAUUAGUGUUGAGUCAAGGGCUUGAUUAUUUUGCCAUGAUCUUAAGUGGAUAAAAGAAAAGAGAAAGAAAUAAAAGAAACAAAGAGAUCAUAUGGAUCUUAUGGAGAGUAAUGAGCUCACAUAGAAAAAGUAUGAUGAAUAAAAGUUGUUGAGAGUUGACAACCAUAGUUUUGGUCAUCGUUGCAAGUAAUAGGAAGUAAUAAAGAAAGAUAGGACUUCACAUAUAAAUAUACUAUCUUGGACAUAUUUUAUGAUUGUGAGCACUCAUUAAAAUAUGACAUGCUAAAGAGUCGACAUUGGACAAGGAAGACAACGUAAUGGGUUAUGUUUUCUUACAUCUGAAAUAAAUUAUAUUUUCUUGGAUCAUCCAACAUGAUUGAGCUUGCCUUUCCCCCUCAUGCUAGCCAAAUCCUUUGCACCAAGUAGAGAUACUAGUUGUGCUUCCAAACACCCUUAAACCAGUUUUGCCAUUAGAGUCCACCAUAUCUACCUAUGGAUUGAGUAAGAUCCUUCAAGUAAGUUGUCAUUGGUGCAAGCAAUAAAAAAUGCUCUCUAAAUAUGUAUGAUUGAUUGGUGUGGAGGAAAUAAUCUUUAUACGAUAGUGUGAUAUGGAAGAAAUAAAAGCGACAGACUACAUAAUAAAGGUCCAUAUCACAAGUGGCAAUAUAAAGUGACGUUCUUUCGCAUUAAGAUUUUGUGCAUCCAACCAUAAAAGCGCAUGACAACCUCUGCUUCCCUCUGCGAAGGGCCUAUCUUUUACCUUUAUCUCCUACCUUACAUAAGAGUCAUGGUGAUCUUCACCCUUCCUUUUUACAUUUUAUCUUUUGGCAAGCACAACAUGUUGGAAGGAUCCUGGUAUAUAUGGCUAAUUGGAUGUGAGUUUUCAUGAACUAUUAUUGUUGACAUUACCCUUGAGGUAAAACGUUGGGAGGCGAAACUAUAAGCCCCUAUCUUUCUUUGUGUCUGAUUAAAACUCCAUACCCAUAAGUAUUGCGUGAGUUUUAGCAAUUGUGAAAGACUAUAUGAUAGUUGAGUAUGUGGACUUGCUGAAAAGCUCUUAUAUAUUGACUCUUUCCUAUGUUAUGAUAAAUUGCAAUUGCUCCAAUGACUAAGAUUAUAGUUUGUUAGUUUUCAAUGAAGUUUAUGAUUCAUACUUGAAAUUGUGAUUGAAUUGUUACUCUAGCAUAAGAGAUCAUAUGACAAGAAUUAUAUAAGUUGUUGUUCUAAGAAUGAUCAUAAUGCCCUCAUGUCCGCAUUUUAUUUUUAUCGACACCUCUAUCUCUAAACAUGUGGACAUAUUUUUCGAUUUCGGCUUUCGCUUGAGGACAAGCGAGGUCUAAGCUUGGGGGAGUUGAUACGUCCAUUUUGCAUCAUGCUUUUAUAUCGAUAUUUAUUGCAUUAUGGACUGUUAUUACAGAUUAUGUCACAAUACUUAUGCCUAUUCUCUCUUAUUUUACAAGGUUUACAUAAAGGGGGAGAAUGCCGGCAGCUGGGAUUCUGGGCUAGAAAAGGAGCAAAUAUUAGAGACCUAUUCUGCAUAGCUCCAAAAGUCCUGAAACUUCACGGAAGACGUUUUCAGAAUAUAUAAAAAAUACUGAGCGCAAGAAGUUCACCAGGGGGGCACACCCUGCCCACGAGGGUGGGGCGCGCCCCCUACCUCGUGGGCCCCCUGGUGGCCCUCCGAUGGCCAUCUUCUGCUAUAUGGAGUCUUCCGAUGAGAAAAAAAAUCAUAAGCCAUCUUUCUGGAUGAGACUCCGCCGCCACGAGGCGGAACCUUGGUGGAACCAAUCUAGGGCUCUGGCAGAGCUGUCCUGCCGGGGAAACUUCCCUCCGGGAGGGGGAAAUCAUUGCCAUCGUCAUCACCAACGCUCCUCUCAUCGGGAGAGGGCAAUCUCCAUCAACAUCUUCACCAGCACCAUCUCCUCUCAAAACCCAGGUUCAUCUCUUGUAUCCAAUUCUUGUCUCCAAGUCAGGGAUUGGUACCUGUGGGUUGCUAGUAGUGUUAAUUACUCCUUGUAGUUGAUGCUAGUUGGUUUAUUUGGUGGAAGAUCGUAUGUUCAGAUCCUAUAUACAUAUUAAUACCCCUAUGAUUAUGAACAUGAAUAUGCUUUGUGAGUGGUUACAUUUGUUCAUGAGGACAUGGGAGAAGUCUUGCUAUUAGUAGUCAUGUGAAUUUGGUAUUCGUUUGAUAUUUUGAUGAGAUGUAUGUUGUCUCUCCUCUAGUGGUGUUAUGUGAACGUCUACUACAUGACACUUCACCAUUAUCUGGGCCUAGAGGAAGGCAUUGGGAAGUAAUAAGUAGAUGAUGGGUUGCUAGAGUGACAGAAGCUUAAACCCUAGUUUAUGCAUUGCUUUGUAAGGGGCUGAUUUGGAUCCAUAUGUUUCAUGCUAUGGUUAGGUUUACCUUAAUACUUUUGUUGUAGUUGCAGAUGCUUGCAAUAGAGGUUAAUCAUAAGUGGGAUGCUUGUCCAAGUAAGGGCAGCACCCAAGCACUGAUCCACCCACAUACCAAAUUAUCAAAGUACCGAAUGCGAAUCAUAUGAACAUGAUGAAAACUAGCUUGACGAUAAUUCCCAUGUGUCCUCGGGAGCGGUUUACAUCAUAUAAGAGUUUGUCCAGGCCUGUCCUUUGCUACAAAAGGUAUAGGGCCACCUUGCUACACUUUAUUUACUUUUGUUACUUGUUACUCGUUACAAAUUAUCAUAUCACAAAACUAUCUGUUACCUAUUAUUUCAGUGCUUACAGAGAAUACCUUGCUGAAAACCGCUUAUCAUUUCCUUCUGCUCCUCGUUGGGUUCGACACUCUUACUUAUCGAAAGGACUACGAUAGACCCCCUACACUUGUGGGUCAUCAUUUCUCUCAAGAAAAAUAGCAAACGGUGGGUAAACAAAUUACUGUUGGGCAAUUGAUAGAACUUCAAAUAAUUAUGACGAUAUCCAGGCAAUGAUCAUUACAUAGGCAUCACGUCCAAGAUUAGUAGACCGACUCCUGCUUGCAUCUACUACUAUUACUCCACACAUCGACCACUAUCCAACAUGCAUCUAGUGUAUUAAGUUCAUGGAAAAAUAGAGUAAUGCAAUAAGAACGAUGACAUGAUGCAGACAAGAUCCGUUUAUCUAUAUGGCGGUAGAUAUAGAUCUCGUCUUUUUAUCCUUAGUAGCAACGAUACGUACAUGUCAUUUCCCUUUCUGUCACUAGGAUCGAGAACCGUAAGAUCGAACCCACUACCGGGCACCUCUUCCCAUUGCAAGAUAAAUAGAUCAAGUUGGCCAAACAAAACCCAAAUAUCGGAGAAGAAAUAUGAGGCUAUAAGAGAUCAUGCAUAUAAGAGAUCAAAGAAACUCAAAUAACUUUAAUGGAUAUAUAAAGAUAUUACUGAUGAUAAACUCGAAUUUCAUCAGAUCCCAACAAACACACUACAAAAGAGUUACAUCAUAUGGAUCUCCAAGAGACCAUUGUAUUGAGAAUCAAAAGAGAGAGAUGAAGCCAUCUAGAUACUAACUACGGACCCAAAGGUCUACAAAGAACUACUCACGCAUCAUCGGAGAGGCACCAAUGGAAGUGGUGAACUGAUACGUCUCUAACGUAUCUAUAAUUUUUGAUUGCUCCAUGCUAUAUUAUCUACUGUUUUGGACAUUAUUGGGCUUUAUUAUCCACUUUUAUAUUAUUUUUGGGACUAACCUAUUAACCGGAGGCCCAGCCCAGAAUUGUUGUUUUUUGCCUGUUUUAGGGUUUCGAAGAAAAGGAAUAUCAAAUGGAGUCCAAACGGAAUGAAACCUUCGGGAAUGUGAUUUUCUCAUCGAAUACAACUCAGGAGACUUGGACCCUAUGUCAAGAAACGUAACAAGAUGCCACGAGGUAGGGGGCGCGCCAACCCCCCAGGUGCGCCCUCCACCCUUGUGGGCCCCCUGUUGCUCCACCGACGUACUUCUUCCUCCUAUAUAUACCCACGUACCCCCAAACGAUCAGAUACGGAGCCAAAACCCUAAUUCCACCGCUGUAACUUUCUGUAUCCAUGAGAUCCCAUCUUGGGGCCUGUUCCGGAGCUCCGCCGGAGGGGGCAUCAAUCACGGAGGGCUUCUAUAUCAACACCAUAGCCUUUCCGAUGAAGUGCGAGUAGUUUACCUCAGACCUACGGGUCCAUAGUUAGUAGCUAGAUGGCCUCUUCUCUCUUUUUGGAUCUCAAUACAACGUUCUCCCCCUCUCUUGUGGAGAUCUAUUCGAUGUAAUCUUCUUUUUGCGGUGUGUUUGUUGAGACCGAUGAAUUGUGGGUUUAUGAUCAAGUCUAUCUAUGAAUAAUAUUUGAAUCUUCUCUGAAUUAUUUUAUGUAUGAUUGGUUAUCUUUGCAAGUCUCUUCGAAUUAUCAGUUUGGUUUGGCCUACUAGAUUGAUCUUUCUUGCAAUGGGAGAAGUGCUUGGCUUUGGGUUCAAUCUUGCAGUGUCCUUUCCCGAUGACAGUAAGGGCAGCAAGGCAUGUAUUGUAUUGUUGCCAUCGAGGAUAACAAGAUGGGGUUUUCUUCAUAUUGCAUGAGUCUAUCCCUCUACAUCAUGUUAUCUUGCUUAAGGCAUUACUCUGUUUUUAACUUAAUACUCUAGAUGCAUGCUGGAUGGCGGUCGAUGAGUGGAGUAAUAGUAGUAGAUGCAGGCAGGAGUCGGUCUACUUGUCUCGGACGUGAUGCCUAUAUACAUGAUCAUACCUAGAUAUUCACAUAACUAUGCUCAAUUCUGUCAAUUGCUCAAUAGUAAUUUGUUCACCCACCAUAGAAUACUAAUGCUCUCGAGAGAAGCCACUAGUGAAACCUAUGGCCCCCGGGUCUAUCUUUAUCAUAUCAAUCUCCUACUACUUAGUUAUUUACUUUGCCAUUUACUUUGCCUUUAUUUUACUUUGCAUCUUUAUCAUAAAAAUACCAAAAAUAUUAUCUUAUCAUAUCUAUCAGAUCCCACUCUCGUAAGUGGCCCUAUAGGGAUUGACAACCCCUAUUUGCGUUGGUUGCGAGGAUUUAUUUGUUUUGUGCAGGUGCGAGGGACUCGCACAUAGCCUCCUACUGGAUUGAUACCUUGGUUCUCAAAAACUGAGGGAAAUACUUACGCUACUUUGCUGCAUCAUCCCUUCCUCUUCGGGGAAAACCAACGCAGUGCUAAAAGAGGUAGCAAGAAGGAUUUCUGGCACCGUUGCCGGGGAGGUCUACGCAAAAGUCAACAUACCAAGUACCCAUCACAUACCCUUAUCUCCCGCAUUACAUUAUUUGCCAUUUGCCUCUCGUUUUCCUCUCCCCCACUUCACCCUUGCCGUUUUAUUUGCCCUCUCUCUCUAUCCUCCCUCUCUUUCUCUAUUUGCCUUUUUUUGUCCGCUUGCUUUUUGUUUGCUUGUGUGUUAGUUUGCUUGUUUGUCACGAUGGCUCAAGAUAAUACUAAAUUGUGUGACUUCACCAAUACCAACAACGAUGAUUUUAUUAGCACUCUGAUUGCUCCUCUUACCGAUGCUGAAUCUUGUGAAAUUAAUGCUGCUUUGCUGAAUCUUGUUAUGAAAGAUCCGUUCUCUGGCCUUCCUAGUGAAGAUUCCGCUACCCAUCUAAAUAGCUUCGUUGAUUUGUGUGACAUGCAAAAGAAGAAAGAUGUGGAUAAUGAUAUUGUUAAAUUGAAGCUAUUUCCUUUUUCGCUUAGAGAUCGUGCUAAAGCUUGGUUUUCGUCUUUGCCUAAAAAUAGUAUUGAUUCAUCGAAUAAGUGCAAAGAUGCUUUUAUCUCUAAGUAUUUUCCUCCUGCUAAGAUCAUCUCUCUUAGAAACGAUAUUAUGAACUUUAAGCAACUUGAUCAUGAACAUGUUGCACAAGCUUGGGAGAGAAUGAAAUUAAUGAUACGUAAUUGCCCUACUCAUGGCUUAAAUUUAUGGAUGAUUAUACAAAAAAUUUAUGCCGGAUUGGAUUUUGCUUCUAGAAAUCUUUUAGAUUCGGCCGCGGGAAGCACUUUUAUGGAAAUCACUUUAGGAGAAGCUACUAAACUCCUAGAUAAUAUUAUGGUUAAUUAUUCUCAAUGGCAUACUGAAAGAUCUACUAACAAAAAGGUGCAUGCGAUAGAAGAAAUUAAUGUUUUGAGUGGAAAGAUGGAUGAACUUAUGAAAUUAUUUGCUAAUAAGAGUGUUUCUUCUGAUCCUAAUGAUAUUCCCUUGUCUACUUUGAUUGAGAAUAAUAAUGAAUCUAUGGAUGUGAAUUUUGUUGGUAGGAACAAUUUUGGUAACAACGCGUAUAGAGGAAAUUUCAAUCCUAGGCAUUAUCCUAGUAAUCCCUCUAAUAAUUAUGGUAAUUCCUACAACAAUUCUUAUGGAAAUUAUAAUAAGAUGACCUCUGAUUUUGAUUCUAAUAUUAAAGAAUUUAUUACUUUGCAAAAGAAUUUUAAUGCUAUGAUUGAAGAAAAAUUGCUUAAGAUUGAUGAUUUGGCUAGGAACGUUGAUAGAAUUGCUCUUGAUGUUGAUUCUUUGAAACUUAGAUCUAUUCCACCUAAGCAUGAUAUCAAUGAGUCCCUCAAAGCCAUGAGAAUUUCCAUUGAUGAGUGCAAAGAAAGAACCGCUAUGAUGCGUGCUAAGAAAGAUGCCUUUAUAAAAGUGUGUUCUUCUAGUUCCUAUGAAAAUAAUGAUGAAGAUCUAAAAGUUAUUGAUGUGUCCCCUAUUAAAUCUUUGUUUUGCAAUAUGAAUCUUGAUAAUGAUGGGACUGAAUAUGAUCCACCUUUACCUAGAAGGCGUUCCAAGAAUUCUGAAUCUUUUGAUCUUGAUGCUAAAUUUGAUAAAAGUGGGAUUGAAGAAAUUAAAACCCUAGAUGUUGCUAAACCCACUAUUAUGGAUUUCAAGGAAUUUAACUAUGAAAAUUUCUCUUUGAUUGAUUGUAUUUCCUUGUUGCAAUCCGUGCUAAAUUCUCCUCACGCUUAUAGUCAAAAUAAAGCCUUUACUAAACAUAUUGUUGAUGCCUUGAUGCAAUCUUAUGAAGAAAAACUUGAAUUGGAAGUUUCUAUCCCUAGAAAACUUUAUGAUGAGUGGGAACCAACUAUUAAAAUUAAAAUUAAAGAUCAUGAAUGCUAUGCUUUAUGUGAUUUGGGCGCUAGUGUUUCCACGAUUCCAAAGACUUUGUGUGAUUUGUUAGGUUUCCGUGAUUUUGAUGAUUGCUCUCUAAACUUGCACCUUGUGGAUUCCACUAUUAAGAAACCUAUGGGAAGAAUUAAUGAUGUUCUUAUUGUUGAAAAUAGGAAUUAUGUGCCCGUAGAUUUUAUUGUUCUUGACAUAGAUUGCAAUCCUUCAUGUCCUAUUAUUCUUGGUAGACCUUUCCUUAGAACGAUUGGUGCAAUUAUUGAUAUGAAGGAAGGAAAUAUUAGAUUCCAAUUUCCAUUAAGGAAAGGCAUGGAACACUCUCCUAGAAAGAAAAUUAAAUUACCUUAUGAAUCUAUUAUGAGAGCCACUUAUGGAUUGCCUACCAAAGAUGGCAAUACCUAGAUCUAUUCUUGCUUGUUAUGCCUAGCUAGGGGCGUUAAACGAUAGUGCUUGUUGGGAGGCAACCCAAUUUUAUUUUUAUUCCUUGAUUUUUGCUCCUGUUUAGUAAUAAAUAAAUUAUUUAGACUCUGUUUUGGUUGUGUUUUUUGUGUUUAAUUAGUGUUUGUUCCAAGUAGAACCGUUGUGAAGACUUAGGGAAAGUCUUGUGGACUUGCUGUAAAAAACAGAAACUUUAGCGCUCACGAGAACUGCUGUCAUUUUUAUUUGGAAGGUGCUAUUUAGUUAAUUAUUUUUGAAUAUGAUUAAUAGAUAAAUUCCUCAUGUCCAGCAAUUUAUUUUAGAAUUUUUGGGGUUCCAUAUCUUGCGCUAGCUACAGAUUACUACAGACUGUUCUGUUUUUGACAGAUUCUGUUUUUCGUGCGUUGUUUGCUUGUUUUGAUGAAUCUAUGGCUAGUAUAAUAGUUUAUAAACCAUAGAGAAGUUGGAAUACAGUAGGUAUAACACCCAUAUAAAUAAAUAAUGAGUUCAUUACAGUACCUUGAAGAUAUCUUUUAUUUUCUUUCGCUAACGGGGCUCACGAGAUUUUCUACUUUAAGUUUUGUGUUGUGAAGUUUUCAAGUUUUGGGUAAAGAUUUGAUGGAUUAUGGAACAAGGUGUGGCAAGAGCCUAAGCUUGGGGAUGCCCAUGGCACCCCCAAGAUAAUCUAAGGACACCUAAAAUCCAAAGCUUGGGGAUGCCCCGGAAGGCAUCCCCUCUUUCGUCUACUUCUAUCGGCAACUUUACUUGGAGCUAUAUUUUUAUUCGCCACUUGAUAUGUGUUUUGCUUGGAGCGUCUUGUAUGAUUUGAGUCUUUGCUUGUUAGUUUACCACAAUCAUACUUGUUGUACACACCUUUUGAGAGAGCCAUAUAUGAUUUGGAAUUUGUUAGAAUACUCUAUGUGCUUCGCUUAUAUCUUUUGAGUUAUAUAGUUUUGCUCUAGUACUUCACUUAUAUCUUUUAGAGCACGGUGCUGGAUUUGUUUUAUAGAAACUAUUGAUCUCCCAUGCUUCACUUAGAUUAUUUUUGAGAGUCUUAAUAGCAUGGUAAUUUGCUUAAAAUCCUAAUAUGCUUGGUAUGCAAGAUUAAUAAUAAAACUCUCUUAUGAGUGUGUUGAAUACUAUGAGAAGUUUGAUACUUGAUAAUUGUUUUGAGAUAUGGAGAUGGUGAUAUUAAAUUCAUGCUAGUUGAGUAGUUGUGAAUUUGAGAAAUACUUGUGUUGAAGCUUGUGAUUCCCGUAGCAUGCACGUAUGGUGGACCGUUAUGUGAUGAAGUCAGAGCAUGAUUUAUUUAUUGAUUGUCUUCCUUAUGAGUGGCGGUCGGGGACAAGCGAUGGUCUUUUCCUACCAAUCUAUCCCCCUAGGAGCAUGCGCGUAAUACUUUGCUUUGAUAACUUGUAUAUUUUUGCAAUAAGUAUAUGAGUUCUUUAUGACUAAUGUUGAGUCCAUGGAUUAUACGCACUCUCACCCUUCCACCUUUGCUAGCCUCUCUAAUAUCGCGCACCUUUUUGCUGGUAUCAUACACCCACCAUAUACCUUCCUCAAAACAGCCACUAUACCUUGCCAUGCAACUUUCCACCGUUCCGUUUAUGACACACUCCAUCAAUGUCAUAUUGCUUAGCAUGAUCAUGUAGUCGACAUAAUAUUUGUAGCAAAGCCACCGUUCAUAAUUCUUUCAUACUUGUCACUCAUGAGUCAUUGUAUAUCCCGGUACACCGCCAGAGGCAUUCACAUAGAGUCAUAUUCUGUUCUAAGUAUCAAGUUCUAAUUGUUGAGUUGUAAGAAAAAUGAAAGUGUGAUGAUCAUCAUUAUUAGAGCAUUGUCCCAGUGAGGAAAGGAUGAUGGAGACUAUGAUUCCCCCACAAGUCGGGAUGAGACUCCGGACGAAAAAUAAAUAAAAGUGGCCAAAGAAGCCCAAAUAAAAAAGGAGAAAGAAAGAGGCCAUAAAAGAUAGAAAAGGCCCAAAAAAGUAAAAAAAGAGAAAAAAAGAAAAAUGGGAGAAAAGAGAGAAGGGACAAUGUUACUAUCCUUUUACCACACUUGUGCUUCAAAGUAGCACCAUGAUCUUCAUAGUAGAGAGUCUCUCAUGUUGUCACUUUCAUAUACUAGUGGGAAUCUUUCAUUAUAGAACUUGUCUUGUAUAUACCAAUGAUGGGCUUCCUCAAAUUGCCCUAGGUCUUCAUGAGCAAGCAAGUUGGAUGCACACCCACUUAGUUUCUUUUUGAGCUUUCAUAUACUUAUAGCUCUAGUGCAUCCGUUGCAUGGCAAUCCCUACUCACUCACAUUGAUAUCUAUUGAUGGGCAUCUCCAUAGCCCGUUGAUACGCCUAGUCGAUGCGAGACUAUCUUCUCCUUUUUGUCUUUUCCACAACCACCCCUCUAUUCCACCUAUAGUGCUAUAUCCAUGGCUCACGCUCAUGUAUUGCGUGAAAAUUGAAAAAGUUUUGAGAAUGUCAAAAGUAUGAAACAAUUGCUUGGCUUGUCAUCGGGGUUGUGCAUGAUUUAAAUAUUUUGUGUGGUGAAGAUAGAGCAUAGCCAGACUAUAUGAUUUUAUAGGGAUAACUUUCUUUAGCCAUGUUAUUUUGAGAAGAGAUAAUUGCUUUGUUAGUAUGCUUGAAGUAUUAUUAUUUUCUAUGUCAAUAUGAACUUUUGUCUUGAAUCUUUCGGAUCUGAAUAUUCAUACCACAAUUAAGAAGAAUUACAUUAAAAUUAUGCCAAGUAGCACUCCACAUCAAAAAUUCUGUUUUUGUCAUUUACCUACUCGAGGACGAGCAGGAAUUAAGCUUGGGGAUGCUUGAUACGUCUCCAACGUAUCUAUAAUUUUUGAUUGCUCCAUGCUAUAUUAUCUACUGUUUUGGACAUUAUUGGUCUUUAUUAUCCACUUUUUAUAUUAUUUUUGGGACUAAUCUAUUAAGCGGAGGUCCGGCCCAAAAUUGUUGUUCUUUGCCUGUUUUAGGGUUUCAAAGAAAAAGAAUAUCAAACGGAGUCCAAGCGGAAUGAAACCUUCGGGAACGUGAUUUUCUCAUCGAAUACAACUCAGGAGACUUGGACCCUAUGUCAAGAAACGUAACAUGAGGCCACGAGGUAGGGGGCGCGCCUACCCCCCCCCCCAGGCGCACCCUCCACCCUCGUGGGCCCCCUGUUGCUCCACCGACGUACUUCUUCCUCCUAUAUAUACCCAUGUACCCCCAAACAAUCAGAUACAGAGCCAAAACCCUAAUUCCACCGCUGUAACUUUUUGUAUCCACAAGAUCCCAUCUUGGGGCCUGUUCCGGAGCUCCGCCGGAGGGGGCAUCGAUCAUGGAGGGCUUCUACAUCAACACCAUAACCUUUCCGAUGAAGUGUGAGUAGUUUACCUCAGACCUACGGGUCCAUAGUUAGUAACUAGAUGGCUUCUUCUCUCUUUUUGGAUCUCAAUACAACAUUCUCCCCCUCUCUUGUGGAGAUCUAUUCGAUGUAAUCUUCUUCUUGCGGUGUGUUUGUUGAGACCGAUGAAUUGUGGGUUUAUGGUCAAGUCUAUCUAUGAAUAAUAUUUGAAUCUUCUCUGAAUUCUUUUAUGUAUGAUUGGUUAUCUUUGCAAGUCUCUUCAAAUUAUUAGUUUGGUUUGGCCUACUAGAUUGAUCUUUCUUGCAAUGGGAGAAGUGCUUAGCUUUGGGUUGAAUCUUGUGGUGUCCUUUCCCGGUGACAGUAAGGGCAGCAAGGCACGUAUUGUAUUGUUGCCAUCAAGGAUAACAAGAUGGGGUUUUCUUCAUAUUGUAUGAGUCUAUCCCUCUACAUCAUGUCAUCUUGCUUAAGGCGUUACUCUGUUUUUAACUUAAUACUCUAGAUGCAUGCUGGAUAGCGGUCGAUGAGUGGAGUAAUAGUAGUAGAUGCAGGCAGGAGUCGGUCUACUUGUCUCGGACGUGAUGCCUAUAUACAUGAUCAUACCUAGAUAUUCUCAUAACUAUGCUCAAUUCUGUCAAUUGCUCAACAGUAAUUUGUUCACCCACCGUAGAAUACUUAUGCUCUCGAGAGAAGCCACUAGUGAAACCUAUGGCCCUCGGGUCUAUCUUUAUCAUAUCAAUCUCCUACUACUUAGUUAUGUACUUUGCCAUUUACUUUGCCUUUAUUUUACUUUGCAUCUUUAUCAUAAAAAUACCAAAAAUAUUAUCUUAUCAUAUCUAUCAGAUCUCACUCUCGUAAGUGGCCCUAUAGGGAUUGACAACCCUUAUUUGCGUUGGUUGCGGGGAUUUAUUUGUUUUGUGCAGGUGCGAGGGACUUGCACGUAGCCUCCUACUGGAUUGAUACCUUGGUUCUCAAAAACUGAGGGAAAUACUUACGCUACUUUGCUGCAUCGUCCCUUCCUCUUCGGGGAAAACCAACACAGUGCUAAAAGAGGUAGCAUGAACCCCUCUGUGAUGAUGUCUAGAUUGGAUCUGGUGGUUCUGCACUCUGCGGCGGCUGGAUGAAUAUUUCAUCGACUCCCCCAGGGUUUCUGGAAUAUUUAGGUAUUUAUAGAGCAAAGAGGCGGUCCGGGGGGCACCCGAGGUGGGCACAACUCACCAGGGCGCGCCUGGGCCUCCUCUCGCGCCCCCUGGUGGGUUGUGCCCCCCUCGGGGCACCGCCAGGUGCAACCAGGGCCCAUUGCCUUCCUUCCGGCCCAUAAAAAAUCAUCCUAAAGUUUCAUGGCAUUUGGACUCCAUUUGAUAUUGAUUUCCUGCGAUGUAAAAAACAUGGAAAAAACAGCAACUGGCACUUGGCACUAUGUCAAUAGGUUAGUACCAAAAAAUGAUAUAAAAUGACUAUAAAAUGGUUAUAAAACAUCCAAGAUUGAUAAUAAAAGAACAUGGAACAAUCAAAAAUUAUAGAUACGUUAGAGACGUAUCAGCAUCCCCAAGCCUAACUCCUAUUCGUACUCGAGUAGGUAAGUGAUAAAAACAGAAAUUUUAAUGUGGAGUGAUGUUCAUCAAGUCAUAUCAUAUUCUUUUCUUUAUAUCAUGGACAUUUGGACUUUUUAUGUGAUUCAAAGCAAUAGUCUAGUUUUGACAUAAUAAUUUAGAUACUCAAGCAUAUCAACAAGCAACCAUGUCUUUCAAAAUAUCAAUGCUAAAACAAGUUAUCCCUAGCCCAUCAUGCUCAAACAUUGAUCCAUUCAUGAAACACACUUGAAUAUUAACUACACCCAAUACUUGAGCAUGAUCAUAUUGCCUCCUACUUGGUGCUUUUUAUGAGAGAAGAUGGAGACUCAAGUUUCAAAAAAAAAUUGCAUAAAGUAAAAGGAAGGCCCUUCGCAGAGGGAAGUAGGGAUUUGUAGAGGUGCCAGAGCUCAAAGCGAAAAAUUUGAGAUAAAAACAUUUUGGGAGGUGUAUCCAUCCCACCAACGAAAACGACUUAGAGUUCCGAACACUUUCCAUGCUAGAUAUGCCAUAGGCGGUUCCCAAACAGAAAAUAAAGUUUAUUCCUUUUUCCACCAUAACUUUCACUUUACAUGGCUAACUGUAUCCACGGGUGCCCUCCAUACCAACACUUUCCAUGGAAUUUAUUAUUUGACAACAUAAAGUAAAUUCAUUUUUGUUUUUGCAUUUCGGUAUUGGGCAUCCCUAAUACCUUUGCCUUACUCUCAUGAAAUGACAAGUGAAUAAACACUCAUCUUGAGAAUAACACAUCUAGCAUGGAAAAUAUUAUCCACCCCUCACCGCUCCGCGAGCGAAACAAACACACAAAAUAGAAGUUUAUUUUGAAAAUUAGAAUUGGCACAUGAAAAUUUGCUUAGAACGACAAAAGAAUACCGCAUAUAGGUAGAUAUAGUAGACUCAUGUGGCAAAACUGGUUUAAAGGUUUUUGGAUGCACAAGUAGAGGUCAUACUUAGUGCAAAAUGAAGGCUAGCAAAAGAUUGGGAAGUGACCAACCAAGAAACGAAUAAUCUCUUAAGCAAGCAUUAAGCAUAACUAACACCGAAUAAUGCACCACAAGUAGGAGAUAAUUUUCAUUGCAUGAUUAUUGACUUUCGUGCAUGCAUAGGGAAUCACAAACCUUAACACUAAUAUUCUUACUAGAGCACAAUUACUCAUCAACAUAACUCACAUAUCACAUCAUCAUAUCUCAAAACUAUUACUAAUAAUCAAGUUUAUUUUGUCUAAUGACUUCAUGACAUUUUCUUUUACUGUAUCCUUCUUGGAUAUCUAUCACUUUGAGAAUAAUUUUCAUGUGUUGCUUUUCAUAAGCUCAAACAAAUAUAAGUGAGGAUCAUGAGCAUAACAAAUUUUAUUUCUCUCAAAAUAAUCUAAGUGAAGCAAGAGAGAAUUUCUUCAAAAUUUUACUAACUCUCAAAAUAAAUCUAAGUGAAGCAAGAGAGCAUUUUUUUUAAAAUAACAAAGCACACCGUGCUAAAAAGAUAUAAGUGAAGCACUAGACCAAGUCCUAGCUCAUAAAAGAUUUAAGUGAAGCAUAGAGAGCAAUUCUAACAAGUCACGAUAUAAUUUUGGCUCUUUCAAAUAGGUGUGCCCAGCAAGGAUUGAUGACUUAAAACACAAAAUAAAACAAGAAAAUACACAUAUCAUACAAGACACUCCAAGCAAAACACAUAUCAUGUGACGAAUAAAAAUAUAGCCUUGAGUAAAAUACCGAUAGUUGUUGGAAGAAAGCGGGGAUGCCACUCGGGGGCAUCCCCAAGCUUAGUUGGUUGCUAAUUCUUGGAUAAUAGCUUGGGAUGCCGGGGCAUCCCCAAGCUUAGUCUCUUACAUCCUUCCUUCAUCCAUCAUAAGAUAACCCAAAACCUGAAAACUUCAAUCACACAAAACUCAACAAAAACCUUCGUGAGAUCUGUUAGUAUAAGAAUAAUAAACCACUACUAUAAGUGUUGUAUCAAACCAAUUCAUAUUUUGUUUUUGUAUUAUAUCUACUGUAUUCCAACUUUUCUAUGGCAAAAACUCAUCAAAGAAAACCAUAGAGCCAUCAAAAUAAGCACAUAACACAAAGAAAACAGAAUCUGUCAAAACAGAACAGUCUGUAGCAAUCUGACUAUUUUGAAUACUUCGGUAACUCCAAAAAUUCUGAAAAAUUAGGACGACAUGAGAAAUUUGUAUAUUGAUCUACUGCAAUUGGUAUAGGUAUUUUAUCGCUCUCUUAUAAAAGAUGAUAAAUAUUUUCGUGAGCGCAAACUUUCUGUUUUUUUCAGCAAGAUCGAACAACUAUUGCCCAAGAAGAUCCUAAAGGCUUUACUUGGCACAAACACUAAUUAAAACAUAAAAAACACAAUCAUAACAGUAGCAUAAUUGUGUAAACACACAAGAACAGAAAGCAAAAAGAAAAAUAUAUUCAUUGGGUUGCCUCCCAACAAGCGCUAUAAUUUUACGCCCUUAGCUAGGCAUAUAGCAAGGAUCUAAGUUUUGUCAUCUUUGGUUCAAGAUACAUAAGAUGCCCUCAUGAUUGAUUCAUAUGGUGGCUUAAUUCUUGUUCUAGGAAAGUGUUCCAUACCUUUCCUCAAAGGAAAUUGGAAAAUAAUACUGCCUUCUUUCAUAUCAAUCACGACACCGAUAGUGCACAAAAACGGUCUACCAAGAAUAAUUGGACAAGACGGAUUGCAAUCAAUAUGAAGAACAAUAAAAUCUAUGGGAACAUAAUUCCUAUUUGAAAGAAUAAGAACAUCAUUAAUUCUUCCCAUAGUCUUUUUAAUAGUGGAAUCCGCCAAGUGCAAAUUAAUGGAACAUUCUUCAAGAUUGGUAAGACCAAGCACAUCACAUAAAGAUUUCGGAAUUGUGGAAACACUAGCACCCAAUUCACACAAAGCAAAACACUCAUAAUUUUUAAUCUUGACUUUGAUAGUAGGUUCCCACUCAUCAUGCAAUUUUCUAGGGAUUGAAACCUCUAAUUCCAAUUUUUCUUCCAAAUCUUUCAUCAAAGCAUCAACAAUAUGUUUAGUAAAAGCUUUAUUUUGUUCAUAGGCAUGGAGUGAAUUCAUCAUGGAUUGCAAUAAAGAAAUACAAUCAAUCAAAGAGCAGCUAUCAUAAUUAAAGUCUUUGUAAUCCAAAAGAGUGGGCACAUCACUAGCUAAAGCUUUGACCUCUCCAAACCCACUUUCAUCAAUUUUCUCAAUAAGAUUUUCACCCUCCGAAAUAUUGCGACGCCUUCUCCCUAAAGUUGACUCUUCUCCAGUCCCUUUUUAUCAUUCUUAACUUUACCAAACAAAGAAUCAAUAGAAGAAACACCAAUCAUUUUAAGAUCUUCAUCACUUUUGCAAGAAUAAUCACUAGAAAAAGCUUUUUCUAAAAAUUCUCUUUUAGCUCUAAGCUUAGCAGUUCUUUUCUUACUUUCAUACAUAGAAACAUAAAGAGAUUUAAUUGAUUCAUCUACUUAGGCACAAAAAAUUUCAUCUUGAGAUUUUGCACAUCAUGAGCAAUUCUAUCAACACUUCUAGACAAAUCAUCAAUCUUAUUCAACUUUUCUUCUAUGGAAGUGUUGAAAACUUUUUGUAUGUUGAUAAAUUAUUUAAUAUUAUUCUCAAGAUCAGAGGUGUUCCUAUUAUUAUUAUAAGAUUGAUUUCCAUAGGAAUUACCAUAAUUAUUAGAUGAAUUACUAGGAAAAGGCCUAGGAUUAAAAUUUCCUCUAUAAGCAUUAUUGUUGAAAUUAUUUCGAGAGAUAAAAUUCACAUCUAUGGCAUCACUAUUUUGCUCAAUCAAAGUAGACAAAGGCAUAUCAUUAAAAUCAAUAGGAGCACUUUUACUAGCAGUCAAUUUCAUAAGAGCAUCAACUUUAUCACUCAAAGAAGAAAUUUCUUCAACUGAAUUAACUUUUUUACUAGUAGGAGCUCUUUCGGUAUGCCAUUGUGAAUAAUUUUCCAUGAUAUUAUCAAGCGAUUUGGUGGAUUCACCCAAAGUAAUUUCCAUAAAGGUACCACCCGCGGCAGAAUCUAAAAGAUUACGAGAAACAAAAUUCAAUCCCGCAUAGAAAUUUUGUAUGAUCAUCCAAAGAUUUAACCCAUGAGUUGGGAAAUUCCUUAGCAUCAUUUUCAUCCUUUCGCAAGAUUGUGCAACAUGCUCAUGUUCAUGUUGCUUGAAGUUCAUGAUCUGGGUUCUAAGGGAAAUAAUUUUUGCGGGAGGAAAAUACUUAGUGAUAAAAGCAUCUUUGCACUUAUUCCAAGAAUCAGUACUAUUACGAGGCAAAGAAGAGAACCAAUUUUUUGCAAAAUCACGCAAAGAGAACGGAAAUAAUUUCAUCUUGACCACAUCAUUGUCCACAUCUUUUUUCUUUUGCAUAUCGCAUAAUUCCACAAAGGUAUUAAGAUGGGACGCGACAUCCUCAUUAGGAGUACCGGAAAAUUGGUCUUUCAUAACAAGAUUCAGCAAAGCGGUUUUAAUAUCACAAGUCUUCGCACUAGUGGCGGGAGGAGCAAGCGGAGUGCCUAUAAAAUCAUUGUUGUUGGUAUUUGAGAAAUCACAUAACUUGGUGUUCUCUUGAGUCAUGAUGAACACACAACAAGAUUGCACUCAAAAAUAGAUCCGGCAAGAAAACAACGAACGGAAAAAAAGAGGCGAAUAAAAUGACAAAUUUUUGUGAAGUGGGCGAGAGGAAAACGAGAGGCAAAUGGCAAAUAAUGUAAAUUGCAAGGAGAUGAGAUUUGUGAUUAGGAACCUGGUUAUGUUGAAGAUCCUCCCCAGCAAUGGCGUCAGAAAUUGGUGCGUGGCCGCGAGACUAUCUUGACUUGAUCCUCCCUGGCAACAGUGCCAGAAAUUCUCCUUGAUGGCAGCUGGAACUACGUCGGUAUUUCCCCGGAGAGGGAGGGAUGAUGUAGCACACUGACAGUAGGUAUUUCCCUCAGUUAUGAAACCAAGGUAUAGAACCAGUAGGAGAACCAAGCAACACAACGUAAACAACACCUGCACACAAAUAACAACACCUCGCAACCCGACGAGUUAAAGGGGUUGUCAGUCCCUUUCGGGGUACGGCUCCUCAAGAUAGGCAAGCGGACGUGAGGUAAAUUAUAGUAGAUUGAUAGAUCGAAUGCCAAAUAAAAUAAAUAAAGAUAAAACACAACAAGGUAUUUUUGUAUUUUUGGGUUUAAUAGAUCUGAAUAAAAAGGCAAAGGAAAAGUAGAUCGCAAGGCAAAUAUAUGAGAAAUAAGACCCGGGGGCUGUAGGUUUCACUAGUGGCUUCUCUCGAGAAAAAUAGCAAACGGUGGGUAAACAAAUUACUGUUGGGCAAUUGAUAGAACUUCAAAUAAUUAUGAUGAUAUCCAGGCAAUGAUCAUUACAUAGGCAUCACGUCCAAGAUUAGUAGACUGACUCAUGCCUGCAUCUACUACUAUUACUCCACACAUCGACCACUAUCCAGCAUGCAUCUAGUGUAUUAAGUUCAUGGAAAAAGGUUGGGAGGCAAAACUAUAAGCCCCUAUCUUUCUCUGUGUCCGAUUAAAACUUCAUACCCAUAAGUAUUGCGUGAGUGUUAGCAAUUGUGAAAGGCUAAAUGAUAGUUGAGUAUGUGGACUUGCUGAAAAGCUCUUAUAUUGACUCUUUCCGAUGUCAUGAUAAAUUGCAAUUGCUUCAAUGACUGAGAUUAUAGUUUGUUAGUUUUCAAUGAAGUUUCUGAUUCAUACUUGAAAUUGUGAAUGAAUUGUUACUUGAGCAUAAGAAAUCAUAUGACAAUAUAUAUAUGUUGCUAUUCUAAGAAUGAUCAUGAUGCCCUCAUGUCCGUAUUUUAUUUUAUCGACACCUCUAUCUCUAAACAUGUGGACAUAUUUUUUGUUAUCAGCUUCCGCUUGAGGACAAGCGAGGUCUAAGCUUGGGGGAGUUGAUACGUCCAUUUUGCAUCAUGCUUUUAUAUCGAUAUUUAUUACAUUAUGGGCGGUUAUUACACACUAUGUCACAAUACUUAUGCCUAUUCUCUCUUAUUUUACAGGGUUUGCGCGAAGAGGGAGAAUGCCGACAGCUGGAAUUCUGGGUUGGAAAAGGAGCAAAUAUUAGAGACCUAUUCUGCACAACUCCAAAAGUCCUGAAACUCCACGAAAGUCAGUUUUGGAAUAUAUACAAAAUAUUGGGCGAAGAAAGCACGAGAGGGGGCCACCCAUCAUCCACGAGGGUAGGGGCGCGCCCUACCCCUGGGCAUGCCCCCUGUCUCGUGGGCCCCCUGGCAGGCCUCCGGUGCCCAUCUUUGGCUAUAUGAAGUCUUUCGCCCUGGAAAAAAUGAUAAGCAAGCUUUCGGGAUGAAACACCGCCGCCACGAGGCGGAACCAAUCUAGGGCUCCGACGGAGCUGUUCUGCCGGGGAAACAUCCCUCCGGGAGGGGGAAAUCAUCACCAUCAUCAGCACCAUCGAUCCUCUCAUCGGGAGGGGGUCAAUCUCCAUCAACAUCUUCACCGGCACCAUCUCAUCUCAAACCCUAUUUCAUCUCUUGUAUCCAAUCUUUGUCUCAAAACCUCAGAUUGGUACAUGUGGGUUGCUAGUAGUGUUGAUUACUCCUUGUAGUUGAUGCUAGUUGGUUUAUUUGGUGGAAGAUCAUAUGUUCAGAUCCUUUAUGCAUAUUAAUACCCCUCUGAUUAUGAACAUGAAUAUGAUUUGUGAGUAGUUACAUUUGUUCCUGAGGACAUGGGAGAAGCCUUCCUAUAAGUAGUCAUGUGAAUUUGGUAUUCGUUCGAUAUUUUGAUAAGAUGUAUGUUGUCUCUCCUUUAGUGGUGUCAUGUGAAUGUCGACUACAUGACACUUCACCAUUGUUUGGGCCUAGGGGAGGGCAUUGGGAAGUAAUAAGUAGAUGAUGGGUUGCUAGAGUGACAGAAGCUUAAACCCUAGUUUAUGCGUUGCUUCGUAAGGGGCUGAUUUGGAUCCAUAUGUUUCAUGCUAUGGUUAGGUUUACCUUAAUACUUCUUUUGUAGUUGCGGAUGCUUGCAGGAGGGGUUAAUCAUAAGUGGUAUGCUUGUCCAAGUAAGGGCAGUACCCAAGCACCGGUCCACCCACAUAUCAAAUUAUCAAAGUACCGAACGCGAAUCAUAUGAGCGUGAUGAAAACUAGCUUGACGAUAAUACCCAUGUGUCCUCGGGAGCGCUUUCCUUUAUAUAAGAGUUUUUCCAGGCUUGUACUUUGCUACAAAAAGGAUUGGGCCAUCUUGCUGCACGUUAUUUACUUUUAUUACUUAUUACCCGUUACAAAUUACCUUUUCACAAAACUAUCCGUUACCGAUAAUUUCAGUGCUUGCAGAGAAUACCUUACUGAAAACCGCUUAUCAUUUUCUUCUGCUCCUCGUUGGGUUCGACACUCUUACUUAUCGAAAGGACUACGAUAGAUCCCCUAUACUUGUGGGUCAUAAAUACUCUUUUCUAGCGCCGUUGCCGGGGAGUGAAGCGCCUUUGGUAGGUGGAAUUUGGUAAGGAAAAAUUUAUAUAGUGUGCUGAAAUUUACUGUCACUUGUUACUAUGGAAAGUAAUCCUUUGAGGGGCUUGUUCGGGGUAUCUUCACCCCAGCUAGUAGAGCAAAGAGUUGCUCCUCAACCUACUGAACCUACUGAAAAUGUUUACUUUGAAAUUCCUUCGGGUAUGAUAGAGAAACUGCUCGCUAAUCCGUUUACAGGAGAUGGAACAUUGCAUCCCGAUUUGCACCUAACCUAUGUGGAUGAAGUUUGUAGAUUAUUUAAGCUUGCAAGCAUGCCCGAGGAUGUUAUCAAGAAGAAGGUCUUCCCUUUAUCUUUGAAGGGAAAGACAUUGACAUAGUUUAGGCUAUGCGAUGAUAUUGGAUCAUGGAACUAGAAUCGAUUGAACUUGGAAUUUCAUCAAAAGUUUUAUCCUAUGCAUCUGGUUCAUCAUGAUCGUAAUUAUAUAUAUAAUUUUUGGCCUCACGAAGGAAAAAGCAUCGCUCAAGCUUGGGGGAGGCUUAAGUCAAUGUUAUAUUCAUGCCCCAAUCAUGAGCUCUCAAGAGAAAUUAUUAUUCAAAAUUUUUAUGCUCGGCUUUCUCUCAAGGAGACUCAUCCGUAAUUAGUUUAUUUAGACCAUUGACAUGACCCCUCAUAUUGCUAGUGUUGUGAUUCCUUCACCACAUACUAUAGAGAAGUUCAAACCAUGAUCCAUAAGCAAGCUCUCAAUCACUGUUUUGAGUGUCAAAGAUGUGGUGUUUCCAACAUAUAAAAUAUGAAGAAACCUCUCAACCACCCUUCCUAUUUUAUCAACAUAACACAGACAAAGAGACAAAUGUUAUUGUAGAUACACAUCACUUGAUUCACCGACAAGUAUUGAGAAAUAACUAUCACCUAGCUCUUCCUGUUGGGUAACGUAGUAAUUUCAAAAAAAUUCCUACGCACACGCAAGAUCAUGGUGAUGCAUAGCAACGAGAGGGGAGAGUGUGAUCUACGUACCCUUGUAGAUCAACAACGGAAGCGUUAGCACAACGUGGUUGAUGUAGUCGUACGUCUUCACGGCCCGACCGAUCAAGUACCGAAACUACGGCACCUCUGAGUUCUAGCACACGUUCAGCUCGAUGACGAUCCCCGGACUCCGAUCCAGCAAAGUGUCGGGGAAGAGUUCCGUCAGCACGACGGCGUGGUGACGAUCUUGAUGUACUACCGUCGCAGGGCUUCGCCUAAGCACCGCUACAAUAUUAUCGAGGACUAUGGUGGAAGGGGGCACCGCACACGGCUAAGAAUAUGAUCACGUGGAUCAACUUGUGUCUCUAGGGGUGCCCCCUGCCUCCGUAUAUAAAGGAUCAAAGAGGGGGUGCGGCCGGCCAGGAGAGGGCGCGCCAGGAGGAGUCCUACUCCCUCCGGGAGUAGGAUUCCCCCCCUUUCCUAGUUGGAAUAGGAUUCGAGAGGGGGGAAAGAGGAGAGAGAGAAGGAAGGGGGGGGGGGGGCGCCGCCCCCUUCUCCUUGUCCUAUUCGGACUAGGGGGGGAGGGGCGUGCGGCCCAGCCCUGGCCACCUCUCCUCUCUUCUACUAAGGCCCACUAAGGCCCAUAUACCUCCCGGGGGGUUCCGGUAACCUCCCGCUACUCUGGUAAAAUCCCGAUUUCAUCCGGAACACUUCCAAUAUCCAAAUAUAGGCUUCCAAUAUAUCAAUCUUUAUGUCUCGACCAUUUUGAGACUCCUCGUCAUGUCCCCGAUCCCAUCCGGGACUCCGAACUCCUUUGGUACAUCAAAACUCAUAAACUCAUAAUAUAACUGUCAUCAAAACCUUAAGCGUGCGGACCCUACGGGUUCGAGAACAAUGUAGACAUGACCGAGACACAUCUCCGGUCAAUAACCAAUAGCGGAACCUGGAUGCUCAUAUUGGCUCCUACACAUUCUACGAAGAUCUUUAUCGGUCAGACCGCAUAACAACAUACGUUGUUCCCUUUGUCAUCGGUAUGUUACUUGCCCGAGAUUCGAUCGUCGGUAUCUUAAUACCUAGUUCAAUCUCGUUACCGGCAAGUCUCUUUACUCGUUCCGUAAUACAUCAUCUCACAACUAACUUAUUAGUUGCAAUGCUUGCAAGGCUUAUGUGAUGUGUAUUACCGAGAGGGCCCAGAGAUACCUCUCCGACAAUCGGAGUGACAAAUCCUAAUCUCGAAAUACGCCAACCCAACAUGUACCUUUGGAGACACCUGUAGAGCACCUUUAUAAUCACCCAAUUACGUUGUGACGUUUGGUAGCACACAAAGUGUUCCUCCGGUAAACGGGAGUUGCAUAAUCUCAUAGUCAUAGGAACAUGUAUAAGUCAUGAAGAAAGCAAUAGCAACAUACUAAAUGAUCGGGUGCUAAGCUAAUGGAAUGGGUCAUGUCAAUCAGAUCAUUCACCUAAUGAUGUGAUCCCGUUAAUCAAAUAACAACUCUUUGUCCAUGGUUAGGAAACAUAACCAUCUUUGAUUAACGAGCUAGUCUAGUAGAGGCAUACUAGUGACACUCUGUUUGUCUAUGUAUUCACACAUGUAUUAUGUUUCCGGUUAAUACAAUUCUAGCAUGAAUAAUAAACAUUUAUCAUGAUAUAAGGAAAUAAAUAAUAACUUUAUUAUUGCCUCUAGGGCAUAUUUCCUUCAGUCUCCUACUUGCACUAGAGUCAAUAAUCUAGAUUAUACAGUAAUGAUUCUAACACCCAUGGAGCCUUGGUGCUGAUCAUGUUUUGCUCAUGGAAGAGGCUUAGUCAACGGGUCUGCUACAUUCAGAUCCGUAUGUAUCUUGCAAAUCUCUAUGUCUCCCACCUGGACUAGAUCCCGGAUGGAAUUGAAGCGUCUCUUGAUGUGCUUGGUUCUCUUGUGAAAUCUGGAUUCCUUUGCCAAGGCAAUUGCACCAGUAUUGUCACAAAAGAUUUUCAUUGGACCCGAUGCACUAGGUAUGACACCUAGAUCGGAUAUGAACUCCUUCAUCCAGACUCCUUCAUUUGCUGCUUCCGAAGCAGCUAUGUAUUCUGCUUCACACGUAGAUCCCGCCACGACGCUUUGUUUAGAACUGCACCAACUGACAGCUCCACCGUUUAAUGUAAGUACGUAUCCAAUUUGCGAUUUAGAAUCGUCCGGAUCAGUGUCAAAGCUUGCAUCGAUGUAACCAUUUACGAUUAGCUCUUUGUCACCUCCAUAAAUGAGAAACAUAUCCUUAGUCCUUUUCAGGUAUUUCAGGAUGUUCUUGACCGUUGUCCAGUGAUCCACUCCUGGAUUACUUUGGUACCUCCCUGCUAGACUUAUAGCAAGGCACACAUCAGGUCUGGUACACAGCAUUGCAUACAUGAUAGAGCCUAUGGCUGAAGCAUAGGGAACAUCUUUCAUUUUCUCUCUAUCUUCUGCAGUGGUCGGGCAUUGAGUCUGACUCAACUUCACACCUUGUAACACAGGCAAGAACCCUUUCUUUGCUUGAUCCAUUUUGAACUUCUUAAAAACUUUGUCAAGGUAUGUGCUUUGUGAAAGUCCAAUUAAGCGUCUUGAUCUAUCUCUAUAGAUCUUAAUGCCUAAUAUGUAAGCAGCUUCACCGAGGUCUUUCAUUGAAAAACUCUUAUUCAAAUAUCCCUUUAUGCUCUCCAGAAAUUCUAUAUCAUUUCCAAUUAGUAAUAUGUCAUCCACAUAUAAUAUCAAAAAUGCUACAGAGCUCCCACUCACUUUCUUGUAAAUACAGGCUUCUCCAAAAGUCUGUAUAAAACCAAAUGCUUUGAUCACACUAUCAAAGCGUUUAUUCCAACUCUGAGAGGCUUGCACCAGUCCAUAAAUGGAUCGCUGGAGCUUGCACACUUUGUUAGCUCCCUUUGGAUCGACAAAACCUUCUGGUUGCAUCAUAUACAACUCUUCUUCCAGAAAUCCAUUCAGGAAUGCAGUUUUGACAUCCAUCUGCCAAAUUUCAUAAUCAUAAAAUGCGGCAAUUGCUAACAUGAUUCGGACAGACUUAAGCAUCGCUACGGGUGAGAAGGUCUCAUCGUAGUCAAUCCCUUGAACUUGCCGAAAACCUUUUGCGACAAGUCGAGCUUUGUAGACAGUAAUAUUACCGUCAGCGUCCGUCUUCUUCUUGAAGAUCCAUUUAUUCUCAAUUGCUUGCCGAUCAUUGGGCAAGUCAACCAAAGUCCAUACUUUGUUCUCAUACAUGGAUCCCAUCUCAGAUUUCAUGGCUUCAAGCCAUUUUGCGGAAUCUGGGCUCACCAUCGCUUCUUCAUAGUUCGUAGGUUCAUCAUGAUCUAGUAGCAUGACUUCCAGAACAGGAUUACCGUACCACUCUGGCGCGGAUCUCACUCUGGUUGAUCUACGAGGUUCAGUAGUAUCUUGUUCUGAAGUUUCAUGAUCAUUAUCAUUAGCUUCCUCACUAAUUGGUGUAGGUGUCACAGAAACAGAUUUCUGUGAUGUACUACUUUCCAAUAAGGGAGUAGGUACAGUUACCUCGUCAAGUUCUACUUUCCUCCCACUCACUUCUUUCGAGAGAAACUCCUUCUCCAGAAAGUUUCCGAAUUUAGCAACAAAAGUCUUGCCUUCGGAUCUAUGAUAGAAGGUGUAUCCAAUAGUUUCCUUUGGAUAUCCUAUGAAGACACAUUUUUCCGAUUUGGGUUCGAGCUUAUCAGGUUGAAGCUUUUUCACAUAAGCAUUGCAGCCCCAAACUUUCAGAAACGACAACUUUGGUUUCUUGCCAAACCACAGUUCAUAAGGCGUCGUCUCAACGGAUUUUGAUGAUGCCCUAUUUAACGUGAAUGCGGCCGUCUCUAGAGCGUAUCCCCAAAACGAUAGCGGUAAAUCAGUAAGAGACAUCAUAGAUCGUACCAUAUCUAGUAAAGUAUGAUUACGACGUUCAGACACACCAUUACGUUGUGGUGUUCCGGGUGGCGUGAGUUGCGAAACUAUUCCACAUUGUUUCAAAUGUACACUAAACUCGUAACUCAAAUAUUCUCCUCCACGAUCAGAUCAUAGGAAUUUUAUUUUCUUGUUACGAUGAUUUUCAACUUCACUCUAAAAUUCUUUGAACUUUUCAAACGUUUCAGACUUGUGUUUCGUUAAGUAGAUAUACCCAUAUCUGCUUAAGUCAUCUGUGAAGGUGAGAAAAUAAUGAUAUCCGCCACGAGCCUCAACAUUCAUCGGACCACAUACAUCUGUAUGUAUGAUUUCUAACAAAUCUAUUGCUCUCUCCAUAGUACCGGAGAAUGGUGUUUUUGUCAUCUUACCCAUAAGGCACGGUUUGCAAGUACCAAGUGAUUCAUAAUCAAGUGGUUCCAAAAGCCCAUCAGUAUGGAGUUUCUUCAUGCGCUUUAUACCGAUAUGACCUAAACGGCAGUGCCACAAAUAAGCUGCACUAUCAUUAUCAACUCUGCAUCUUUUGGUUUCAACACUAUGAAUAUGUGUGUCACUACUAUCGAGAUUUAAUAAGAAUAGACCACUCUUUAAGGGUGCAUGACCAUAAAAGAUAUUACUCAUGUAAAUAGAAUAACCAUUAUUCUCUGAUUUAAAUGAAUAACCGUCUCGCAUCAAACAAGAUCUAGAUAUAAUGUUCAUGCUUAACGCUGGCACCAAAUAACAAUUAUUUAGGUCUAAUAUUAAUCCCGAAGGUAGAUGUAGAGGUAGCGUGCCGACUGCGAUCACAUCGACUUUGGAUCCAUUUCCCACGCGCAUCGUCACCUCGUCCUUAGCCAAUCUUCGCUUAAUCCGUAGUCCCUGUUUCGAGUUGCAAAUAUUAGCAACAGAACCAGUAUCAAAUACCCAGGUGCUACUGCGAGCAUUAGUAAGGUACACAUCAAUAACAUGUAUAUCACAUAUACCUUUAUUCACCUUGCCAUCCUUCUUAUCCGCCAAAUACUUGAGGCAGUUCCGCUUCCAGUGACUAGUCUGCUUGCAGUAGAAGCACUCAGUUUCAGGCUUAGGUCCAGGUUUGGGUUUCUUCUCUUGAGCAGCAACUUGCUUGCUAUUCUUUUUGAAGUUCCCCUUCUUCUUUCCUUUGCCCUUUUUCUUGAAACUAGUAGUCUUGUUGACCAUCAACACUUGAUGCUCCUUCUUGAUUUCUACCUCCGCAGCUUUCAGCAUUGCGAAGAGCUCGGGAAUAGUCUUAUUCAUCCCUUGCAUAUUAUAGUUCAUCACGAAGCUCUUGUAGCUUGGUGGCAGUGAUUGGAGAAUUCUGUCAAUGACGCAAUCAUCUGGAAGAUUAACUCCCAAUUGAAUCAAGUGAUUAUUAUACCCAGACAUUUUGAGUAUAUGCUCACUGACAGAACUGUUCUCCUCCAUCUUGCAGCUAUAGAACUUAUUGGAGACUUCAUAUCUCUCAAUCCGGGCAUUUGCUUGAAAUAUUAACUUCAACUCCUGGAACAUCUCAUAUGCUCCAUGACGUUCAAAACGUCGUUGAAGUCCCGUUUCUAAGCCGUAAAGCAUGGCACACUGAACUAUUGAGUAGUCAUCAGCUUUGCUCUGUCAAACGUUCAUAACAUCUGGUGUUGCUCUAGCAGCAGGCCUGGCACCCAGCGGUGCUUCCAGGACGUAAUUCUUCUGUGCAGCAAUGAGGAUAAUCCUCAAGUUACGGACCCAGUCCGUGUAAUUGCUACCAUCAUCUUUCAACUUUGCUUUCUCAAGGAAUGCAUUAAAAUUCAACGGAACAACAACACGGGCCAUCUAUCUACAAUCAAACAUGAAUAAGCAAGAUACUAUCAGGUACUAAGUUCAUGAUAAAUUUAGGUUCAAUUAAUCAUAUUACUUAAAGAACUCCCACUUAGAUAGACAUCCCUCUAAUCCUCUAAGUGAUUACGUGAUCCAAAUCAACUAAACCAUGUCCGAUCAUCACGUGAGAUGGAGUAGCUUCAUUGGUGAACAUCACUAUGUUGAUCAUAUCUACUAUAUGAUUCACGCUCGACCUUUCGGUCUUCGUGUUCCGAGGCCAUAUCUGUAUAUGCUUGGCUCGUCAAGUAUAACCUGAGUAUUCCACGUGUGCAACUGUUUUGCACCCGUUGUAUUUGAACGUAGAUCCUAUCACACCCGAUCAUCACGUGGUGUCUCAGCACAAAGAACUUUCGCAACGAUGCAUACUCAGGGAGAACACUUCUUGAUAAUUAGUGAGAGAUCAUCUUAUAAUGCUACCGUCAAUCAAAGCAAGAUAAGAUGCAUAAAAGAUAAACAUCACAUGCAAUCAAUAUAAGUGAUAUGAUAUGGCCAUCAUCAUCUUGUGCUUGUGAUCUCCAUCUUCGAAGCACCGUCAUGAUCACCAUCGUCACCGGCGCGACACCUUGAUCUCCAUCGUAGCAUCGUUGUCGUCUCGCCAAUCUUAUGCUUUCAUGACUAUCGCUACCGCUUAGUGAUAAAGUAAAGCAUUACAGCGCGAUUGCAUUGCAUACAAUAAAGCGACAACCAUAUGGCUCCUGCCAGUUGCUGAUAACUCGGUUACAAAACAUGAUCAUCUCAUACAAUAAAAUUUAGCAUCAUGUCUUGACCAUAUCACAUCACAACAUGCCCUGCAAAAACAAGUUAGACGUCCUCUACUUUGUUGUUGCAAGUUUUACGUGGCUGCUACGGGCUUAAGCAAGAACCAAUCUUACCUAAGCAUCAAAACCACAACGAUAAUUUGUCAAGUUGGUGUUGUUUUAACCUUCGCAAGGACCGGGAGUAGCCACACUCGGUUCAACUAAAGUUGGACAAACUGUCACCCGCUAGCCACCUUUGUGCAAAGCACGUUGGGAGAACCGGUCUCGCGUAAGCGUACGCGUAAUGUCGGUCCGGGCCGCUUCGUCCAAAAAUACCGCCGAACCAAAGUAUGACAUGCUGGUAAGCAGUAUGACUUAUAUCGCCCACAACUCACUUGUGUUCUACUCAUGCAAAUAACAUCAACACAUAAAACCUAGGCUCUGAUACCACUGUUGGGUAACGUAGUAAUUUCAAAAAAUUUCCUACGCACACGCAAGAUCAUGGUGAUGCAUAGCAACAAGAGGGGAGAGUGUGAUCUACGUACCCUUGUAGAUUGGCAACGGAUGCGUUAGCACAACGUGGUUGAUGUAGUCGUACGUCUUCACGGCCCGACCGAUCAAGUACCGAAACUACGGCACCUCCGAGUUCUAGCACACGUUCAGCUCGAUGACGAUCCCCGGACUCCGAUCCAGCAAAGUGUCGGGGAAGAGUUCCAUCAGCAUGAUGGCGUGGUGACGAUCUUGAUGUACUACCGUCGCAGGGCUUCGCCUAAGCACCGCUACAAUAUUAUCGAGGACUAUGGUGGAAGGGGGCACCGCACACGGCUAAGAAUAUGAUCACGUGGAUCAACUUGUGUCUCUAGGGGUGCCCCUGCCUCCGUAUAUAAAGGAUCAAAGGGGGGGGGUGCGGCCGGCCAGGAGAGGGCGCGCCAGGAGGAGUCCUACUCCCUCCGGGAGUAGGAUUCCCCCCUUUCCUAGUUGGAAUAGGAUUCGGGAGGGGGGAAAGAGGAGAGAUAGAAGGAAGGGGGGCGCCGCCCCCUUCUCCUUGUCCUAUUCGGACUAGGGGGGGAGGGGCGCGCGGCCCAGCCCUGGCCACCUCUCCUCUCUUCCACUAAGGCCCACUAAGGCCCAUAUACCUCCCGGGGGGUUCCGGUAACCUCCCGGUACUCCGGUAAAAUCCCGAUUUCACCCGGAACACUUCCGAUAUCCAAAUAUAGGCUUUCAAUAUAUCAAUCUUUAUGUCUCGACCAUUUCGAGACUCCUCGUCAUGUCCCCGAUCCCAUCCGGGACUCCGAACUCCUUCGGUACAUCAAAACUCAUAAUAUAACUAUCAUCGAAACCUUAAGCGUGCGGACCCUACGGGUUCGAGAACAAUGUAGACAUGACCGAGACACGUCUCCGGUCAAUAACCAAUAGCGGAACCUGGAUGCUCAUAUUGGCUCCUACACAUUCUACGAAGAUCUUUAUCGGUCAGACCGCAUAACAACAUACGUUGUUCCCUUUGUCAUCGGUAUGUUACUUGCCCGAGAUUCGAUCGUCGGUAUCUUAAUACCUAGUUCAAUCUCGUCCGGCAAGUCUCUUUAAUCGUUUCGUAAUACGUCAUCUCACAACUAACUUAUUAGUUGCAAUGCUUGCAAGGCUUAUGUGAUGUAUAUUACCGAGAGGGCCCAGAGAUACCUCUCCGACAAUCGGAGUGAUAGAUCCUAAUCUCGAAAUACGCCAACCCAACAUGUACCUUUGGAGACACCUGUAGAGCACCUUUAUAAUCACCCAGUUACGUUGUGACGUUUGGUAGCACACAAAGUGUUCCUUCAGUAAACGGGAGUUGCAUAAUCUCAUAGUCAUAGGAAUAUGUAUAAGUCAUGAAGAAAGUAAUAGCAACAUACUAAACGAUCGGGUGCUAAGCUAAUGGAAUGGGUCAUGUCAAUCAGAUCAUUCACCUAAUGAUGUGAUCCCGUUAAUCAAAUAACAACUCUUUGUCCAUGGUUAGGAAACAUAACCAUCUUUGAUUAACGAGCUAGUCUAGUAGAGGCAUACUAGUGACACUCUGUUUGUCUAUGUAUUCACACAUGUAUUAUGUUUCCGGUUAAUACAAUUCUAGCAUGAAUAAUAAACAUUUAUCAUGAUAUAAGAAAAUAAAUAAUAACUUUAUUAUUGCCUCUAGGGCAUAUUUCCUUCACUUCCAUGAUACACUUAGUAGUUUUUUUGGCACAAGAGUUGACGAGGUCUGUUUGUAUUUCUUGAGCUAUCAUUUUAUUGUUCCUUGAAGCAUUCUUGAGAACCACCUUGUUCGCUUCUGCAAAAAUCUCCACUAGCCAUUGCAUAAGCUCAGGAAAAUUACCUUUAUGUAGUGAAACUUCUCUCCAUCAUGUUCACGAAAAUCUAACCCUUGACAAAAAAGGAACCUCGGGCAUUAAAAGGAAUAUGUCAGGCCAGCUCUAUAUAAAACCUUGUCUCGUUUGAUGGUUGAACAAAAUGACUCUAUGAUUGUUGUGUUUGCUGCAAUGAAGAAAUUGUAUUUCUCUUGUGCUUUGUUACGUGCACACUGCACUAUUGAUUUCACCGACAUGUUUCACAAAACUAUCCUUGUGAUUCUAAUUUCUAAGUCACCCAUUCACCAAAAAUCUCCACCAACAUGCAAAUUAUCAUUGAAAAGAUAACAUACAAGCAUAAAGCACCAUCUAGUUCUUUACUAUACUCAAGCCAACUAUAAGACUUAAACCAUUUAGCUACAAAUAUUGUUGCACACCUCCGGUGGGGUGUUGUGGAAAAGCAUAUUUUUUCGGUCAACAAGCCCCUUUUGCAAUGUAUCCUCUUCUAAUCCUAUUCGGACCAUUAACAUCAUAAGUUGCGAUUGGCAUCCUCUUCCUAGGAUCAGAUUCACUCAAUCGAACAUCAUAAACUGCAUCUUCAAUGUCACCCAUUUCCUAUAUUUUUUCAGAUUAUUGGCUUGCUUCGUUCGCAAUAUUAGGUACUGUGAUUGGACUUCUGUUGAUGCCACUAAUAAUUUGCAGUUGUUGCGGAAUAUGAACUCAAGGGGAGCUCAUGGUGCUAUGAAGUUGAUUCGGUGGGAAAUUGUUCUACAUCCGCACUUGCUGCUCAACCUAAAUACAUGGGUUGGAUUUCUUCCCAACUUUAGUACAUAAAGUUCUCAAAUUAAUGUUCUACUACAUUAAAAUUGAAAUCCGCAAACAUUUUUUAGUACCCAAACAUUUUUCUAAUAUACGGUGAACAUUUUUCAUCUACUGAUUUUUUGAUAUAUGGUGAAAAUUGGUGUAAUAUAUGCUGGCAUGUUUUUAAAUACUACAUAUUGACCAUGUAGAUAAAAAAUUUAUAGUAUAUGAUGAACAUUUUUGUAAUAUAGAUGGCCAUUUUUAAAAUAUACAUUGCACAUUUUAUAAUAUACGAUGAGCAGUUUAUAAUACUAGAUGAACCUUUUUUGGAGUUCUGAACAUUUUUUUGAAAACAGCAGCCAUUGUACAAGAAAAAACCAAAACAAAAGAAAUGAGAAACCCAAAAACAAAAACAAAACAAAACAAAACAGAGAAACCUACAGAAAAAAACGAAACAGAAAAAGGCAAAGGAAGAACCCGAACUGGGCCAGCCGGCUCGGCGUGCCCCAGUGGGCCGUCGUGGCGAAUGCAACGGCUACAUGGGCCGCUCUUCGUGAAAGAGAAGGAGGUCAGUUCAUGGACCGCUACCAGUACACGGGCCUCGCUGUGGCAACACCCGCCGUGUACUAGUUUUCGCGGGAAUCCAAUGCCAAAAUCGCUCCCCGCGGGAACCCGACGUCGGUCUGGUGACUUCUGGAGCCUUCCAGAACACUCCACAAGCUCCCAGAGCCGUCUGAUCAGAUCAGCACGAAGCACGAACAUUGGCGCGCGAAGAUAUUUUCCUUCCCGACGACGCCACACUGCAUUUCAUUUGAAUUUCAAAAAUCGAAAACGGAAAACACUUUCUCUCAUCCCGAGGAGAGGCGGUUAGUGCCAGAGGAGCANNNNNNNNNNNNNNNNNNNNNNNNNNNNNNNNNNNNNNNNNNNNNNNNNNNNNNNNNNNNNNNNNNNNNNNNNNNNNNNNNNNNNNNNNNNNNNNNNNNNNNNNNNNNNNNNNNNNNNNNNNNNNNNNNNNNNNNNNNNNNNNNNNNNNNNNNNNNNNNNNNNNNNNNNNNNNNNNNNNNNNNNNNNNNNNNNNNNNNNNNNNNNNNNNNNNNNNNNNNNNNNNNNNNNNNNNNNNNNNNNNNNNNNNNNNNNNNNNNNNNNNNNNNNNNNNNNNNNNNNNNNNNNNNNNNNNNNNNNNNNNNNNNNNNNNNNNNNNNNNNNNNNNNNNNNNNNNNNNNNNNNNNNNNNNNNNNNNNNNNNNNNNNNNNNNNNNNNNNNNNNNNNNNNNNNNNNNNNNNNNNNNNNNNGCCCGCCACCCGCUUGCCUUAGCGUCCACGGCUCCUCCGGCUAUAUAACCCGCCCCUCACCCGCUCCCCCUCCGGCAUUCCAUUUCCGUCCCACCACCGCACCACCACCACUCCACCAAAACCCUAGCGGGCGAGCGAGGGAGAGAGAGACCACCCCGCCCGACCCCGCCGAUGGAGAGAUCCCGCCGCCUGCUGCUGGUGGCGGGCCUGCUCGCCGCGCUGCUCCCGGCGGCGGCGGCCGCCUUCGGGCAGCAGCCGGGGGCGCCGUGCGAGCCCACGCUGCUGGCGACGCAGGUGGCGCUCUUCUGCGCGCCCGACAUGCCCACCGCGCAGUGCUGCGAGCCCGUCGUCGCCGCCGUCGACCUCGGCGGCGGGGUCCCCUGCCUCUGCCGCGUCGCCGCGGAGCCGCAGCUCGUCAUGGCGGGCCUCAACGCCACCCACCUCCUCACGCUCUACAGCUCCUGCGGCGGCCUCCGUCCCGGCGGCGCCCACCUCGCCGCCGCCUGCGAAGGUACGCGCACGUUCACCGCCCUCCGUCCCUCCCUCUCUCUGUCUACGUGCAGAUUUUCUGUGCUCUCUUUCCUGCUUGCCUAGUACGUAGUGUUCCAUGGCCUCUCGGGCCGCUAGCGCUCCGAUUUGCGUUGGUUUCCUUGCUGUUCUGCCGGAUCUGUUGGCACGGCGCGCGGCGUCGGGUUCUCGCCGUCUCCCGUGGCGAGCGACCUGCGCAGCGCGCGCGGCCUGGCUAGCUUCAUACCGCUGUACCUUGAGAUACACGGAGCGAUUUAGGGUCUACUCUGAGUAUUUCGUCAUCGUAGGAUGCAUGUGCCGCUCGCGAUUGUUUCAUCGAUUUGAGAUCUGUGCUUGUUCCCGCGAGUUAAGAUGGAUCUAGCGCCGUACGCAGAUGCAGAGUCUGUUGCUCGAGUUACCUUAUCUACCGUCGUUCGACUAUGGUAUUUGCCUGCUUCCUUUUGGCUGGGUUUAUCGUGCAGUAGUAGUAGACAUGUGGACGCGUUCUUCUUAUUUUGUGCCGACCAUCGUCGAGAUACUUUUCCUGCUACAGCGUUUCAUCGCCUGCACCAUCCCGUUCGUGAUAGCACUUUUGUGUCAAACCGCAACGCAGCUUUGCUUUCUGCGGUAUCUUCUGCCUUGUUUGUCGCCUUGCUUGGUCAAAACUGAGAACUCUUGCUGUUUGAUCGACCGAGGGCAGAGGCAGAGCAAGAGCCUGCCGUGCUUUUGGCUCUGCAGUGCGUCGUCUCUGCCUCCUUUGCCAAACAUUUCCAUGUUGAUCCUCUGGGGGCACUGCUUUUUCGCAUGCGGUUUCCGUAGCCUUCCUCUUUCAUGAAAAAAGGUUUGGGUCAAAUCAAAUGGAUCGCCUAUUGGCAGAGCAGCAGCAGAUAGCUGGCUGUCUCACAGCUUUGGCAGAAUCGGUCUGUUGCCUGCCACCGUGUCUCUUAUCUUGCCUGCCACCGUGUCUCUUUUCUUGUUGCGCACGUCGUCACCUCCUCCUACUUCUUUUCCAGUUUUGUUUACUUUUGAUGAAAUACGGACGAACGGCUGGUAAUCAUUAACUUUGGUUGCUGUUGUUACUGUGGAUUUUGGACGCAGGACCCGCUCCCCCGGCCGCCGUCGUCAGCAGCCCCCCGCCCCCGCCACCGUCGACCGCACCUCGCCGCAAGCAGCCAGCGCGUGCGUACCUCUCCCUCUCGCCCGCAUCUCGCUCCGUAUUAACUGAUUGUGUCUGCAUACUGACGUGUGCUUUGGCUUUGGAUCUGUUUCGCAGACGACGCACCACCGCCGCCGCCGCCGUCCAGCGACAAGCCGUCGUCCCCGCCGCCGUCCCAGGAACACGACGGCGCCGCUCCCCACGCCAAGGCCGCCCCCGCCCAGGCGGCUACCUCCCCGCUCGCGCCCGCUGCUGCCAUCGCCCCGCCGCCCCAGGCGCCACACUCCGCCGCGCCCACGGCGUCAUCCAAGGCGGCCUUCUUCUUCGUCGCCACGGCCAUGCUCGGCCUCUACAUCAUCCUCUGAGUCGCCGACCCCGAGGCCAUGGUCCGUCCAGUUGCAGUAGAAUGCUCGUCGUCUUGUUCCGUUUCAUGCUUGUCGCCGUUCGAGGUUCGUUUCUGCAGUCCGAUUGAGAAGAAGACGGUGGGUUUUGAUCGCGUCCCGAGAUUUCUGUUGUCGAUCGUAGCGUCCUGGUAGUAGUAGUGUCUGGUAGCAGCAGUAUGUUCAUGUGUCCUCGGUCGCCUAGUUUUGGUCUCAAGUAGUACUGUCUGUCCACCGUGUUUGCGUGGUCGCGGAGAACAUCAUUGGGUUUUGCGAUUCCUCUGGUCAGAUGAACCACUGCUAUGUGAUCGAUCGAUAUGAUCUGAAUGGAAUGGAUCAAGUUUUGCGUUCUGCUGAUGACGUGAUGCUUCUUCAGUUAUAUUCAUGCUCGAUCUAUUUCUGUUUCCCCCAUUUGAAUUUGUGGAGCAGCAGUUUGGCUUUCUUUUGUUCUGCUAUGGAUGAAUGCUUCUUGCAUGCAUCUUGUCUUUGCUUAAUUUGAACUGUAGAACGGAUGCAGUUCUGGUUUCUGCUAAUGAUGUGAUGAUUCUUCAUAUGCAUAUGCUUUACAUGUUCAUCUCUUCAAAUUUGUGCAGCAACAGUUUGUAGCUUUCAUUCGGCUCUGAAUGAAAUGCCUCUUGCAUGUUGUCUUUGCUUAAUUUGUUUUUCACGGGGAGCCUGCUGCAGCUUUCUGUUGCCAUGUUGUUUUCCACGCCAGGACAAAAUAGAUGGUGCGGUUUGAUUCGAUCCCGGUUAAUUGCUUGAUGCUAGCUUCUGAUCAAUCCCUUCAUCACGAUGUUCCGGAGAGCCACAUGGAACUGGAGGGGGGAGAUUCAAAUUCAUGCAUGCAAAUUUGUGUUGGUGUUGGGUCACGUCAAGCAGUCACUUUUUGCAGUAUCACUCUUACCAUUUUAUCCUUUUGUUGAAACCUCUCUCCUCACCCCAAAAGUUGAUGCAAUAGUGCUAUGCCCACCCAUGCUUUUUUCAUAAUCUUUUGAGCCCAAAGUCCCAUUUUACUAUCUGUUUGCAUAUUUGUGUUCCUUGCGGCGAGGGCUAUCAAGCAAGGCCUUUCUUGAAUAUAUUUUGGCAAGUUUUCAAAUUUGAAUUCUAAAAGAUGGUGAAACUCUAUGAAACAAAUCUCAAAGUAUAUGACCUUAUCACCAAUCCACCAUUCUACAAAUAUUUCAUUCUCCGGCAUCGCCUGCUUCCGACGGCGAUGCCGCUGUAGGUCCUCGCCGCCGCCGCAACUCUUCCGCUAGCUAUGUGGUGGAACUGUUGGCACUCCACCCUCAUUUCCCGUCUCUUUCUAUCGUCUCUAACCACCGCACAACGUUCCCUACGUGGGGAGGAGCAACAAUAUCUGCUUCAACUCUUUGGAGGGUAAAUUGCAUGGAUUUCAUUCACAAAGAAAAUAUUGCAUGGAUUUUAAGUCAAUUUUUGUGGCUGUGGAUCAAUCAACCAAACAAUUUGGGAGAAAAAAUUCAGCUUAGAAUCUGUAUGAGUGUGGUUGUGUUUGUGUGACCCUUGCGUGAGGAACAGCAGGGACGCCAAGGAGGGUUGCCAUGGACGCAACAAGCAGAGGAGCCGACGGGCCUCUGAGGAAUGCUGUCGCGGACGGCGGGGGAGAGUAGCGGGGAGGGAGCGCCCAGUGCUUCCACAAGCAGGAGAGUUGCGACAGCGUCGAUGACGAACGGACGGAGCACUCAUAAUUAGAAGAGUGUGGCGCUAGAGAAAAAGGACAAGGGGAUUUGCAUCUAAUUGCUUUGAGAUUCGUUUUGUCACGUGUCACCCGCUGGAGAAGGUCUCACGACCGGAGGCGUGCGACCCGGGUCAUAUAGGAAUUUUUUUCGUGCCAUCGAUAACAACCGAAAUUCUUCGUGCCGUUGAAAUCUUGAAUAGAUCUGAAUCAGCAGAAGUUACUUUAACCCCACCGUCGUAAAAAGAAAGGCAGAAAUCGACGAACUCAAGGAGGAUGGGAACCAAAGACAAAUUCCCUUGGCCACUUUGCAAAUUUUUAAGAGCUGUGUGACAUAAGUACUCAUCUUGAUAAGUUUUUUUUGGAAGAAAAAAGGAGUUUUAUUCCAUGUUAAUAGGUUUACAGUCCGCUAAUACAAAAUGACUAAUAAAAGGCAGAGCAUGAACUCAUCUCUCAUAAGUUGUUGUAUGACUAAUUGGGAAAUGACUAGGGACCAGUCGACUAAAUUUGUUUUUGUUUCCUGUUGUUGCAUGCAAAGGAAUGGCCGGAUCUAGAUCUUCUUCUUCUAUCUCUGAAAAUACUGUUCAUCCUCUUCCUCUCUCAUCUCGAUCUGAACCACCCACAACCACCAACCGGACCGCCUGCCUCAUCCGCCCACGGCCAAGUCCACACCUCCCUUCCCUCGACCUCCUUCAACCGUCACUUGCCGUCGCCCCGACCAUCUCUCUAGCCCCGUCCGCGUUCAUUUUUUUUCUCUCCGACGGAUCCCCAUCAUCGCCUACACCUUGAACCUAAGAUAGGUAAUGGGGUGAAGCCGGUGAGCCCCUUGCUUCUCUUCGGCGAGGCCUUCUCUCCGACGAGGCCCCUCCUUCUUCUUCAUUCAUUCAAAAUUGACUGGACUGAAUUUGAACUUCCAUUCAAAAUUGAAUGACCCAAAUUCAGCUGACUGAUAGGUAGCUAAACUGGACUAAUUGUUGUGUGACUAAUGGUACACGUUAUCUCUUUCUUGGCCACGAGGAAAAUGUACUGAAAAAGAGGCGCAACGCCCUUGUAUUUAUUUAUGUAUUGACAUGGGCAUGCCUUGGCAGUAGUAGGUAGGUUGGCAAACUUACAUCAUCGUACCGAGCCCGUGCCACUCUUAUUUAUUCUACUCCCGCAUACGCAUACGUACGAACCACUACACAGUACACGCAACACACGAGUCCAGCUCUCAAACGGCACAGGCUCCAGCACACCACACCCACUCAACAGCGGCCAUGCCAGCCUCAGCACAUCACAUGAAUAUUUUUAAAAACACCAUGUACAUGUGAAUCUUCCGAGGUGCUUCUCUGUGCUAAUAACGGUUGAACCGUAGGCGUCCACGAAGAACCCACAACUUUUUUUUCUUCAUUAUAUACUUUGUUUUUUUCUUGGUUUUCUUCUUUUUCUUCGGUUUUCUUUGCUUUUCAUUCAUGUGAUGGCGCGUUCAUGUGCUCUUUCAGAGGUGCUUCUGUGUGCUCGUAACGGUUGAGCUGUAGGUGUCAAAGAAGAACCUACAACCUUUUUUCUUCGUUAUAAUUCCUUUCUUCAUUAUACUUUGCUUUUCUUCGUUAUAAACAUCAUGUACAUUUUUUUAAUGGAAGUACUUUUUCUGAACUAUGCGAGAAUUGUUUUUCAAUUGUGUAAACAUUUAUUUUAAUUGUCACGGACAUUCCUUCAAUUGCCAGAAUUUUUUUCUUUGGAGUGUUACAUACCGUUUGGACUUUACGUUAGGCACGCAUUUUUUUACAUUGUAUACACAUUUAAAAAUUAUCGCAUACAUUUUUUCUGAAACACAGGACAUUUUUUCAUUAUAAGAGACAGUUUUUCUUAAGUUAUCUACNNNNNNNNNNNNNNNNNNNNNNNNNNNNNNNNNNNNNNNNNNNNNNNNNNNNNNNNNNNNNNNNNNNNNNNNNNNNNNNNNNNNNNNNNNNNNNNNNNNNNNNNNNNNNNNNNNNNNNNNNNNNNNNNNNNNNNNNNNNNNNNNNNNNNNNNNNNNNNNNNNNNNNNNNNNNNNNNNNNNNNNNNNNNNNNNNNNNNNNNNNNNNNNNNNNNNNNNNNNNNNNNNNNNNNNNNNNNNNNNNNNNNNNNNNNNNNNNNNNNNNNNNNNNNNNNNNNNNNNNNNNNNNNNNNNNNNNNNNNNNNNNNNNNNNNNNNNNNNNNNNNNNNNNNNNNNNNNNNNNNNNNNNNNNNNNNNNNNNNNNNNNNNNNNNNNNNNNNNNNNNNNNNNNNNNNNNNNNNNNNNNNNNNNNNNNNNNNNNNNNNNNNNNNNNNNNNNNNNNNNNNNNNNNNNNNNNNNNNNNNNNNNNNNNNNNNNNNNNNNNNNNNNNNNNNNNNNNNNNNNNNNNNNNNNNNNNNNNNNNNNNNNNNNNNNNNNNNNNNGAAGAUAUAAAAAAGAAUGAAAAAACAGAGGAGAAAAACUAAGGACCCUGGGCCGCCCUAACCAUCUCGCGCUUGAGGCUAUGCUCUAAUGCAGCUCGCUAAAAGCGAGAUAUAGCUUCGCCCCACAAACUUCUCGCCAUAGGCACUAAUUAAGAAGUAAUCUUUGCAAAGUUCUCUCCCACAUCUCAGAAUGCCACAAAUAGCACACUGCAUGUACGCUCCUUAGAAUGCCACAAAUAGCAUCUCAGAAUGCCACAAAUAGCACAGCGCAUGUGCGCUCCUUGUCAUAACCCGAAAGCUUUUAUUUAAAAUGUUCAAUCUACCCGAAAACUUUUAUUUAAAAUGUUCAAUCUCUUGAACCGUGUGUCAAAUUUCGGACCGGACUGUUUCGAUUCCUAACGUCGAGAUCUUUAAAACACCGUUUUCAUCUUUCAAUUUCUCACGUCAAGAUCUUUAAAACUAUUGACGUACUUUCUUAACAAAAAAUUGACGAAAAAAUUGAACAGUCAUUUUUUUUUCUCUUUUCCGAAAGAGAGACGAAUAUGCCUCUCGCGAAACCAAAUCCAUACCUCACUACAAGUAAACCCAUGCCUGUCGAGGAAGAGAAAGUUAAUUUUUUUUGGUUCUCUGAGAGACACGACACAAAUUCUUCUUUCAGAUGAUUUGCAUGUAACUAAAGUGGAGGAAAAUUCAUUUUUCAGAUGAUUUGCAUGUAAAUAAGUGGAGGAAAAAUCAUUUUUCAGAUGAUUUGCAUGUAACUAAAGUGCCGGAAAAUUCAUUUUUCAGAUGAUUUGCAUGUAACUAAAGUACAGGAAAAUACUGAAAAAGAGGCGCAACGCCCUUGUGUUUAUUUAUGUUGGGCAUGCAUGCCUUGGUAGAAGGUAGGUACGCAACUUACAUCAUCGUACUGAGCCCGUGCCACGACUUAUUUAUGCUACUCCCGCGUACUGACAAACUUACACACACAUACAAGUUCAGCUCUCAAAUGGCACGGGCUCCAGCUCACACAUUCACUUAACAACAGCGGCCUUGCCGCCUCAGAGCGCGGCGGUUGCCAUCCUCAGGAACGCCUCCACGGCUUCGUCGCCGCGCCCGCGGUCACCACGGCGGCGGUCCCCGCGCUCAUGCUCCUGCUGCUGCUCGGGUCCGGCGACGAAGCCCUCGUCCUGCUGAUCCUUGGCGCGGAACACCUCCUGCACCUCCCUCGCGGGCCUGCCGAAGGCGAGCUCCUGGGCGGGGUCGUCCAG
rnacentral:lncRNA from 1 species